rnacentral:lncRNA from 1 species
CGACGACGAGAAGGUUGUGGCCUCCUACGGCGACGAAGACGGAUUUCAUUAUGCCCAGGUUGUUCAUCAUGCUGGAGUGGACUUGAGCCUUCUCCUUUCACAUUGUUGCUUUCCACAAGUUCGAUGUUUGUCCGGUGCUGGUUGCUUCGGUGGACGAAGACCUUGACUGACCAAGCUUAGUUCUUCAGCUUCAUCUUGGUAGCUGCUUGUGUAGUCUUUGGUUUGUGCACUGUCCUGUUUUGCACCUUGUAUCGGCCGCCUGAGGUUGUUGUGCCUCAGUGUCUUCCUUUUCUUUCUUUUUCAUGUUGCUUGUAUGUGGUUGAUCGAUGUAAUCCUGGCCGGUUGAUGGCUUUGUUAAUUCAAAGCCGGGCUAGGUUCGAGCCUCCUCUCGGGCUCGGCCGAUGCCUUUCCUCUAAAAAAUUAUAUAACAAACUCCCAUCGGUCCAGCUCAUUUCUUCCAAUCAGCUCUAAAAGAAAUAUAGCUUAAUAUUGAUUAUCCAACUAUCAUCAUAAUCUUUUAGUUUUGGGGAUUUUACUUUUUGUAGCAACUUCACAAUCUCUGCUUUUACCCAAGCAUCAACAAGCAGUAUGACAUGUCUUUGUCGCCUCCCACUAAAAAGGGAACUAUCAUCCAGUGGCAUCAUUCAUCAUGGACUUAGAUCGAAAGAUAAGUAAGGUACUCCCUCCGAUCCGAAUUAAUUGACGCAACCUCUAUACAAGAUAAGAGGCUGCAUUGAUUAAUUUGGAUCGGAGGCGGUAUAUUUCUUACUAGAAAAAUUUGCUUGAAUAGAAAUAUUCUUGAGAACCAACUGUGAUUAUGAUGUCAAGGCUACCCCCUCAAAUGAAUUUUUCUCUGUUUUACUUGAAUGAAAAUAGUUCUUGAAACAUAAUGAGAUUUGAAGCCCUUUAAACAGUUGGCUGCUGGUUAGUUGUUCUGAUCGUGUUCUCUUUUAUCAUUUUUCUUGUCUGACAGUGCAGAAUAAUUCGGUACUCCCUCCAUUUUUAUUUAGUCUGCAUAUUAGCUUUGACCAAAGUUAAACUUUGUAAACUUUGACAAAGUUUACAAACAAAAAUAUGAACAUAUACAAUAACAAAUCAAUACAAUUAAAUUUAUUAUUGAAUGUACUUUCACAUCAUAUAGAUUUGGUUUGGUAAAUGUUUAUAAACUUUACGAAGUUUGACUUUAGUCAACUCUAAUAUGCGGAGUAAAUAAAAAUGCAGGGAGUAUCUAAGAAACAUGGUGAUAUUAUAAUAAUCUUCCGGAUCCAUAUGUAUCUAGACGUAUUUCAUUGCUAGCUACAUCUGUUUGAGUGACAGGUGAUAUGGAUUGGAGGGAGUACCUUAGUUUAUAGUGUGUUAUCUUUGUUGUUAGGCAUAGGUUUCUUUUCGUUCUGAACCUAAUAAUAUCUCUAUGCUUUUAGAGGUUAUUCAGCUAAUACUCCCUCCGCCUGGAAAUAUUUGUCAGGGAAAUUGAUGUAUAAAAUCAAGACUAUAUAAAAAAGAAAAUCAGUGAAUCUACAUUCUAAAAUAUGUUUAUAUACAGACACUCUAAAAUAUGUUUAUAUACAUCUACAUGUUCUUUCUCUGUCCCAAAAUAAAUGUAUGACUUUAUACUAACUUUGUACUAAAGUUACUAUAAAGUUUAGACAUUUAUUUUGAGACGGAAGGAGUGGUUGUUAUUGAAAUCUCUAAAAAGACUUAUACUCCCUCUGUCCGGAAUUGCUUGUUGCGGAAAUGAAUAAAAAUAAAUGUAUUCAUAACUAAAAUACAUCUAGAUAUAUCCAUUUCCCUGACAAGUAUAUUCAUAACUAAAAUACAUCUAGAUAUAUCCAUUUCCCUGACAAGUAUUUCCGGACUGAGGGGGUAUCUAGGAACGGAGGAAGUAAUACUUAUCCUAACAUAACAUAUAGGUUGGUAUCUAAUAGCUUUGACCUGAGCUAGCAGCACAGCGGCAGCUUGUAGAAGAGGCAUGGCUAAGGCAGGGGCGUCAUGUCUAUGUCUAUAGAAGGACGCGCAGUUGGGGCCGUCAACCGCCAUGCCAGCGGCGGAGAUCAUCCAUAGCAGGGCGCGUCACUUCAUCUAUUUGCCUAAACGACCUUUUUUUGCACUUAAGUGUGCCCAUGGCCCACGAAAAACUUAUAUGCCCGUCUGCCCCCCUUGACAAACGACUACCCGAAAGCCAUGGCUGUUACAGGUAAAGAGGCCAAACCGCUGGCUGUCUGUCAACGUUCAACGGUCGUGGUCAGCCAGUUGGCGUGGCACCUUACGGACACGUCCUACUAGCAGAGGCCACAAAACAAUGACAACGACAAACGAGGCUCGAGCAAUACAUCGAACAAUUUCAUCAAUGUCCCUCUCUAUUCCUUACUUCAUGGUAUUAGCCUAACCUUGAUCCAAACCCUAGGCACCGCCGUUGCUUUCGCACCGUGCCGCCCCGAGGCGGUCGAUCUCCAUGGUCGCCAUUGGGGCCUGCGUCACCCAUAUCUAGGGUUCAUCCAUCGGUCAUGUUGAUCGGCUGCCCUAGAAAGUCAUUUUCUUCUAUCCUUUGACCAGGGUUUUUCUCUCUCGUCGGUCGUUUUAAUCGGUGUUCUUCUUUUUGGUUUUCGUAUCUAAAAUCGGUUUCUGUCGCCCGCUGCCGCUGUCGACCCCACGCCUCUACUCCGGCACUAGCGCAACCACCUGACCUAUUCUCUGACCCGGCAACCCCCCAUGGCCCUCAUUCGCGCGUCUGCCCGCCCUUCACGAUACGCUGGUUGUCGUCGCGCUGCUCUGAAUGGGACUUCUUGAUGCGGAGCGUCCUACGGUCAUCCCCAUGGACCUACCAUCGUCUCAUCAAGAGCCAAGAGGACCUAUGACACGAGCACGAGCUAGAGCUCUCAAGAACGAGGUGACUUCCUUCCUUAGUGAUAUCACAUAUGAUCCACUCGAGACAUGGCUACUACCUAAGUCCGAUACGCUAUGCAUGAUUAGGUGUCAAGAGGACCCUCCCGGAGAUGCUCAUGAAGAUGGACAAGCCGCCAAGUUCACGGACGAGGAGAACCAACGGAAGGAGUCAAGUGCAACUCCCAGGACCCGGACAUCCGGCUAGGAACCCGGACAUCCGGCCUUCCAGCGCCAAGGAGCCAGCGCCCAAGCCUACAGGCCCCGGACAUCCGGCCUCCGCCCGGAAAUCCGACGCCCGUUACAGAACGUGCCCGAAGCUGAACCACUCCAGCCCGGACAUCCGGCCCGUCCCGAGCUCCCGGACAUCCGGCCCCUCGCCCGGACAUCCGGACCCCGUCUAUCCAGAGAGCGUCAAGGCCAGCCACGCCAGCCCGGACAUCCGGCACCUCGCCCAGACAUCCAGCCUCCCCUGUCUGCGCACAGUGUAAGGGCCCGAGGCCCAUGUAACCUUUCGCCCCCCUAGACUAUAUACUCCUCCUCCUCCCCCCUUUUAGGGUUAACAUUGGUAUAGCUCAUAUGUGAGGAUAGGUUUGCUCAUCCAUUACAGAUCUACUCCACGAGAGAGACCGCGACCCCUCUAUGGAGACGAUCCCCUUGGAUUCAAGACCCCCUUUUGGGUGGCCCCAUCAAGACCUCCUCUAGGAGAAGAACCGGUUACCAUUUGUAUCGUCCUUUGUUGGAUUUGAAUCUUGUAUCCCCUCUCGUGUGUCGAGGAUCUAGCACAUGUGUGACUAUAUCUUGUUGGUUUAGUGUUUCUCUUGUGUUUUCCCUCGUGAUCUCCCUCGUUUUCUUCGUGUUCUUAGUUGGGAUCUGCUCCUUUCGUGAAAGAUCGGCAAUAGGGUUCCACCCUACAUCAUCUUGGUAUCAUGAGCCACGUUGAUCACGAUUUCGGAGCCCUCUCUCUUUAUUUUCUAGCCUAGUUUUGUUGAUUUUGUCCCUAAUUCGAAAAUAGCCCCACAAAAAUAGCCCCAAUUUUUUUGUGAUUUGUUGGUGUAAUGAAGUUUUGUUGGAUUUGAUCCGCGGAUUUCGUGUGUUGCAGGUAGAUCUAGCUUUUCCCCAUCUUUCCCCCAAUUUCCAUCCACCAAAUCUUCCGAAUUUUGCCCCGGGUUUGACCUCUCUACGCGGUGUUCAUUGAGUUCGUCCACGGAUCCACAGCUCGGACAUCCGGCCCGACAGCCCGGACAUCCGACCCCUAACAGCAACACUUCCAUCCACCACUCCAAUUCCGUCUAACUUUCGUCCAAUUUUGACCCGGUGCCCAUUUCCACUUCCGCAUACAACCACCACUUCCGCAUAGCACCACCAUAGCCUUACCGCUACCACCUCCGACAAUUUUGUCACGUUUUUUGCUUUGAGAAUUUAUGUUGCGUAACCGUGUCCUAUUGUGUUUCGGCUAUCUAGGUAUGGUUCGACAUCGACAUCACCGCCGCUUCUUCGCCAAGGAUUACUACGAACACCUCAUCAUUUUGGUUCAACCUCAUCUUGGUAUCGUGAUAUCAUCAUACAUUCUUGCCAUUUGCAUUGAUAACCACCAUAGCCUUACUUUUGCGUAGCUUACCCAUCGAGACUAGCCGUUGAGUAUUGCCGGCAACGUGACUUGUGCACAUUAGUGAUCAUACUCUCCAUAGAAUACAUAUCAUAUCAUCGUGUUGCAUAUCUCGGUAUAAUCUCUUGUGUCACAGGGUUGUCAUCGCAUACACAAUUGCUAUCUUGGUUCGUGAAGCAUUGCAUGAGAAAAGAGCUCAAACAACAAAGAGCCAAACAAGCUUUUAAGCAAGAAGGAAAGAUAAGCAAAGAGGUUAUAAGCACGAACCAUAGCAUCAUACAACAUUGAGAUUGUCAUACUCGAUCAUCUUGGAUCAUAUCAUCGGUAUACCAUACAUAUAGCAUACUUGGGAUAGAAGUUGUUGCAUUUUUGCUUAGUAGGUUGUGCACAAGUUCGUAUCCGCCUAUUGUGCAAUCGUGCUAGCGUCUCUCUAGUGUUGUGCAAAGAGCAUUUUCGUGGACUCCAUAUUUUGGCUCACCCCUUGGUUAUCUAUUUGCUUGUGUUUUUCCGAUAUCUAUCUUGCUAUUGGUCUACUUGUUGCAUUUUGCAAAUUUGCGCAUCUUUUCCAACAUUAUUGAAGCUCACUAACAAUUGCAUCAAAUUUUGUGCCACCAUCCUAACCGAGCUCCACAAUAAGCUUUUACUUGUGUAGGUGUGAGAAACUGACAAGAAUUGGUACCAAUUGUGCUAUUUCCUUGUUACACAUUGGAGUGAUCAUUGAUCCAUCUUCAACAUAGGUCGAGGUACAUUUGGUAUAGGUUCUUCUAUUUCUCCCACUCACAUAUUUUUGUUUGGAAUGGUGGAUAGGCCAAGUACUUCUACCAACCCACUCUUCCUUGAGCAAGACGACGACCCGAACAACUACGUCACCAAACUACACCUCUUUGGUACACAACGAGCUUUGCAUGAAGAGCAACUAGCAAUGAGUGACCGCAUCGACAACCUCGCCGCCGACUUGCGACUCUCCGAGCAACGCACAACAGACUACUUCGACAACAAGCUCGACGAGCACAAGCAUGAGAAUGACGCAAGAAUGGACGAGAUUCAUGCCUUGUUGGUCAACCGCUCUUCUACCACUUCGUCCUACUCAAGUGUGACGCCCUCGAUUCAAUCGUACACUAAUCAUACAUGCAAAUGUGUACGAUCAAGAUCAAGGACUCAGGGGAAGAUAUCACAACACAACUCUAGACACAAAUUAAAAUAAUACAAGCUUUAUAUUACAAGCCAGGGGCCUCGAGGGCUUGAAUACAUAAGCUCGAAUACACAAGAGUCAGCGGAAGCAACAAUAUCUGAGUACAGACAUAAGUUAGACAAGUUUGCCUUAAGAAGGCUAGCACAAAAGCAACAACGAUCGAAAAGGCAAGGCCUCCUGCCUGGGAGCCUCCUAACUACUCCUGGUCGUUGGCGGUCUCCACGUAGUAGUAGGCACCCUCGGGGUAGCAGUAGUCAUCAAUGGUGUCUUCUGGCUCCUGGGAUCCGUCAUCUAGUCGCAACAAUCGGGUAUGGGGGAAAAGAGGUAGCAAAGCAGCUGUGAGUACUCAUCCAAAGUACUCGCAAGACUUACAUCAGAUCUAAACUAUAUAUGCAUCUGUAUCAAAGGAAUGGGUUGUAUCUGUGGACUAAACUGCAGAAUGCCAGUAGGGAAGGGAAAGCCUAGCCUAUCGAAGACUAGCAUCUUCUGGAAACCACCAUCUUGCAGCAACAGGAGGGAGUAGAGUAGCAUAAAGUAAAGUAGUAGAAGUGUUACCAACCUCGGCCAGAGAUCCUUUCUCGACUCCUUGAUAGAAACCAAUCCCAGAGCCAUACUAUCACAAUCCAAUUCUCAUCACCAUCUGUUUCUCAUCACAAUCCAUUUCUCAUCACAAGUAUCCAAUUCUAGUUGUAUCGAUCGGGAUGCAACUCCAAGUGUCCGUUACCGUAGGACAGGCUAUCGAUAGAUGUUUUCUUCCCUGCAGGGGUGCACCAACUUACCCACCACGCUCGAUUAACUCCGGCCGGACAUACUUUCCUAGGUCAUGCCCGGCCUCGGCCAAACAAUACGCCGCAACCCGACCAGGCUUAAUAGAGAGGUCAGCACGCCGGUCUAAACCUAUACCCCCAUGGGUCAUGGGCCAUCUCCCCGGGAACUCCUGCACGUUGCGUACGCGGCCGGUGAGCAGACCUAGCUACCUCCUUCAACAAGGCAGGAGCUUACGCAGUCCAACCCGGCGCGCGCCGCUCAGUCACUGACGUCUAUUAAGCUUCGGCUGAUGUAUACGACGCAGAACGCCCAUACUAUGCCCACGUGAUGGUUAGUGCUAUCAGGCCAGAGGCCCCUCGGAUCAAAUAUCCAAAUCGUAGUGGAUUAGGAACGCGCGGUAACGAGCAGAGACUCACGAUCGAUGGGACCCCGUCGCCCCGUCUCGAGUACUUGCGGCAAGGGCUAAGAAUGCCCGGCCACGCCUCAUAAGUAUCUCGCGGGCACCUUCCAGGUCAACCCGACUCCACAUCACUCGCUAUUAAGCUCGCGCGGGUACCCCUCAGGGUCGACUCGUCUUUAGUAACAUGGUUCAGUGUAAAAUCAUAGUAACCAUAGUAAAUGUGUGUCUAACACCAAAGGGAAAACCCGAGGAAUCACCCCCGGUGAAUCCCACUCAAUGUUAUCAUCAAGGUGAACGUAAGAGGAUCCACCCUCGAGGUUCACAUUUGAUGGGUUGCACGACAGAGCCGUAACGGAAGUGGUUAAGGAGGAAAUCACCCUCGAUGACCUCGAGCGUAAAGCUACACUACGGAGAUCUCAUCAGGAGUGAUGUAAGAGGUUCCACCCUCGGCACUCGAUGGUAACUCUACAGAGUCGUACAACUAGGGGGGUGAUGUGCGGUGUCGGGGCCUGUACGUCGAUCACGUUGAUCGAGUCAUCGAACAUAAAGCGAGGCAACUGGGACAAGGGGGGGUCACUGAUGGAUCUCUAAGCAACCUAUACUAAGCAGUUUAGAAUAAGCAGGUAAGGUAUGAAAGCAGGUAACAAAAACAGGCUAUGCAUCAGAGUAGGAUCAUACAUAAAGCAGUAGUAGUUCUAAUGCAAGCAUGAGAGGGAAAGAAAUGGGCGAUAUCGAAAUGCUCAAGGGAGGUUUGCUUGCCUGGCUGCUUUGGCAAGGAGGGGGGGUCGUCGUCGACGUAGUCGAUCACAAUGGCAGCAUUGGUCUCAGGGUCUACCGGAGAGAAGAGGGGGAAGAAACAGUAAAUAUAAAGCAAACAUAGCACCACAAAGCAUAACAUGGAAAAAAGAUGUGCCGGGUGUGACCUAACGCGGUAGGAGGUGGUACCGGUAAAGGGGGGAAACAUCCGGGAAAGUAUUCCCGGUGUUUCGCGUUUUCGGACAGAUGGACCGGAGGAGAAAAGUUGUGUGUUCGCUAUGCUAGGGAUAUGUGGCGAACGAACGGGCUACGUAUUCGGAUUCGUCUCGUCGUUCUGAGCAACUUUCAUGUACAAAAUAGUUUCAUCCGAGUUACAGAUUAUCUUAUAUGAUUUUUCAAAGUAUUAAACAUUUUCUGCAAUUUCAACAUUUAUUUAAUCGGAAUUGACCAAGUCAAAUUGACUGGUCAAAAGGAAAGGUUGGCCCACAUGGCAUAGACUAUACGUAAACAAAAUAAAUAAACUUUAACUUAACUAAAUGGCUCCACCUGCCAUAGGCUAGCAACUAACCUAACAAAGAUUACCUAAGUAGUCUAAAUUAGCCUAAACUAAUUAGGCCGGCCACACACAACACCUAUGCACACACACGGCCACAGCCACCACCACCAACAGCCAGCGAUUGCAGGCGGCAGUAGCAGCAUCAAAGCAACGCUAGCAGCGGCGGCUAGCAGUAUAAGAGCAGCGGGAGUAGCAGCAGUUCAGCGGCACAUAGCAGGAGCAGCAGCACGGCAUCAGAAAUAGAGCAGCUGCGAGCGGACGCGAGGCCACGACAGUACAUAGAAGCAACAGCAGUACAGGAACAGCAGUACAGCGGCAGGGCCGCGGGCGGCUGCGGCACGGCACCCGUGGGCGCACGGCCGGGCCAGCCGGCGCACGGCCGGGCCAGCCGGCGCGCAGGGGCGCAGCGGACACAGGACUGGGCACGGCCAGGGGCGCGGUGUGCGGAUGUGCGAGCGGGGGCGGCUAAAGGGGAGCGCGUGAGUGGGCGGCCUCGACGUGCUGUGAGGAGUGGAGGCGGACGAAUGCGUGCGUGGUCGUGCGUGACGGGCAGCGGCAGGAGGAGCAACGCGAGCAGGCCAGGAGUGGAUGUGCGCGCGCGGACGCGGAACUCCGGCCAUGGCGGCCUCGGGCGAGCACGGGUCUACGCGACGGAUCGACAGCGGGACGAGGGGGAUUCAGAGGAGGAGCUCACCGUGGAGGCACAAGUAAGCCCGGUGGAAGCUUAGGAGCGCAGGAUUGGACGAACUUGAAGAAGAACGCCGGCGGCGAUCGAGGAAGAUGAAGCUCGAUCCGCACGAUGCGGUGGCUCCGGGCUUGAGCUCGUGGGCGAGGAAGACGAAGCAGACGACAGCGGUUCCGCGGGACCUCCCAGCUCGGCGUGGGGGCGACGAUGGUCGCGAGGUCGACGUCAACAAUGGCGACGGAGGCGUUCGGGAGUGGGGCUGAACUAGAGAGGGGAACCCCUGGGAGAGGGGAGAAGUGGAUGAGAGCGGGAGUGAGGCCAGAGGGGAACCGAGGCGCCAAGGGGGCGGCCUUAUCAUCCCGUCGGUGGCGUACGGGGCGCGGCACCGGGUCUGGCGGGGACGAGCAGGAGUCCCCCUCCCGGUCGGUCGUACAGGGGAGAGGGAGACGACCCGGGGAGGGGUUGGGCUGCCUCGGCCUUUUGGGCCAAGGGGGUCUUUGUUUCUUUUCGCCUUUUCUCAUUUUAGGUUUCUGUUUUCUUUUUGUUUUAUUUAAUACAGAGACAGAGGGAAAAGUUUGGGCUACCAAACUACUUUGAAAAAUUGUGGGACUAGGCCACUUAAAUUCUUUGUACUGAUUGGCACUGGCAUAAAAAGUUUGAGGGGCAAUUAAAUUCAUUUGGACUUUUCAUAAUUAAAAUAGCAUUUUAAAUGCUGAAACUGCACUGUUUAAAUUGUUAUAGUCCAUCUUGGCUUGGAGGUGAUGUUGUUUUCCUUAUCAAUCAUUUGUUAUGGAAUUUUGUCUAAAUGAUGAACUAUUUUGCAACAACUUUUGUGCAACUUCAUAUUUCACUUUCAAAUUGAAUUUGAUUCGGAAGUGGGAUUUCAAAUGAUAUUUGAAUUAAAGGUGAUUAAGCACUGCUUAGCAAAGUGAUUAGCUUAAUCACAGAGGGUUACUGUAGCAUGACACUGGGGGUGUUACAAAUCUCCUCCACUACAAGAAAUCUCAUCCCGAGAUUUAAGUGGGGAAAUAAAGAGUAACUUCAGGUGAACUGACCCUUACAGGGUUAAUUGUCUGUUGAACAAUGCAGGGAAUGAGGCAGAAGUAUCUCUCGAGUUGAAACUUAGUAAAACAUCGAGAGCAAAGUAUGAAGGUACAAUAGGAAGUUACAAGCGGAUGGACAAACGAUUGAUACCUGAACCGAGUGUGAGAAAGGAGUUCAGAGCCUCAGGAAUAGAUCAUCUCUCGAAAGGUGGCUCGUGACAUGAUACGAAGCCAAGCGUGAGGAAUAACCUCAGAAACAGGGGGUACAGGAGAGUCAGGUUUUGAUCAUGUGGAACUGUGGGUUAUGGGCCCACCAUGUGGGUUAAAAGGAGAAAGGGCGCUAGCAUUUUGCACGGUCAUGAUAGCAAGGCAUGUCAGAGGGCAUCAUGUCAGUUAUGUCGGCAACAACGUCGGUACCAAGGGUGAGGGACGAAGAGAACCAUCUUCCUGCUCAUUGAACGAGGCAGACCAAUAGGCAAAGUUCUCGUCUAUCGGUGGUUACCGGAAUGUCAUCAAUAAUAGUAACAGGGUCUUUACUGACGGAGUUGUACAUUGAGGUGUUUACCUAAGCAAGAAAUUAUCUCUACUGGGAUAAGUUAGUUUACCGGAAAGGUUAAACAAAAGAAUGGAAAGGAAAAAUAUGGUUAGUAUAUUAACCAGAACAAUGGAAAGGAAAAUGUGUUUAAACACAUAUUUCAGGGGUAUAUCCUUCCCAAGGACAAGCAGAGCAAGAUAUCCAUGACAGGAUAGUAAGUAGACACCAAUUAGGUAAAGGGAAAGAAAUUUCAUGACAUUACCCCUACAACGGUGUUUGGAUAAUUGAUAAAGAAAAUUUAGUAUCAUGCCUCAAAUGUUCUUAUUGGAGAUCGGAUUACCACAGACAUGCUUCAGGAUAGCAUUGACACGAUCAUCAGAUAAAGGUCAGUCUUUGGAUUCACAAAGGACCCAUCGGAAACAACUUAUAAUUUAAGUCGUACAAUUUAAGCAAGGAAAAGAUGAGGAUGUGGCCGACAGGCUCAACAACAACCCAUCGACAUGUCAAAAAGAAUGUAUUUUCAAAAUUAUAUGAACUUGUGUUGGGGAAGGCAAGAAUGUUGUCCAUGAUAACACAAAUCAUCGAGGGGCAAGGAUUGUAUUUCUCAUCAUGAAUUCGAUUGAUAUCCUGGAAGAUCUCAGAAAGUUGAUGAUGAUAACGACACAUUUGUCGAGAGAUUUCAGGAAGAUGUAAUCGAUCGGCGAUGACAUCAAGUCAAUGGAAUGAUGAAGCAAAAGGUUAUUGGAACCACGAGUACGACACAAACUCGAAAGCAAGCUUGUUGUUCAUGGCAAAAUGGUAUGACGAGGAAGAUCGACAUAAGCUUAGCUCGUCGUCGAAAAUUGUGCUCCGGAAAGAAGGACCAGGUAGCACAGUUAAAAUUUAGCACGAUAAUGAUAUUGCCGAUCAGGCUAGGAAUGACUUGAAGGAUUAUUAAACUCGUAAGUAAUGAAAAUUACUUAGAGUUAUAGAAUCGAAGUGCGGAAUCGAUUCAACCGAUUCACUUAUCGGUGUCCUCGAGUGAUUAAUAACUCAGAUCCUGGGGGAAAUCUGAAAUCGGUGAGAAGCAAUACUAGAUGAAGACUCAUAGGAAGCAACACAGUUCUUUGAUAUUCUCGAGGUACCGGAGGGUAAUACUCGAAGGAAGAUCAAAAAUAGAGGUUGCGGAGAUGCAUUGAUCUGCAGAAGACAAGUGCUUUAACUUUUCCAAGAAAUGGAAUUAAAAGGGGGAACAAUCAUGGUCGGAACCACGGUUGCAAAGGACCAAACAUAGAUACCGUAAGAACUAAUAAUAAGGGGAUUAUUAUAUCACAAGAAGCUUCCAUGAUAAAUUUCCACAUUAGGUCCAUGGGCAUGAACACAAAGUUCAAGGUCGACUCCCACUUCUCCAAUGCAUAACCUUUCAUUCACUUCUCGCGUUCAAUGAAGUUGUAGUGUUGAAAUGUUAUCUGGAAAAACACCAGAAGAGUAUGACUCGUGAAAACUCUCGGGUUCACAUGGAUUAAGGAAGGCAUAGGUCCAACCCAUAGGGGCAUCUUGGGAACAUAUACCACAAACUCCCCGAGUAAAAUAACACAAGCUCAAAGGCAGAGGAUACAAUUUACCAAAGGCUUUAUGUAUCUGAGGAAAGGCUCCAAGAGGUUAUUAAAUAUGAAGAACGUUGUCAGAUAAAAUCCAACAAAGGAUCCGGCGGUCCACAUUGGAUCGAUGUGAGUAUCGAUACUCAACCAGAAGAAGGAAGAAUGCAAAGGCUUCGGAUUAUAGAAACAUGAAUAAUUCGAUGCUUUAAAUGCAAAGAAAUCAUGAUUUCAAAAAUAGAAGAUCAGAAGCAGACGCUCUGAUCAAAAGAUAAGUAAGUUGAAUAGCCCUAGGGAUACAAUUGACGACAAUUUGAUUGGUCGAGAAACAACUCUUGGUCAAAUGACGUCCAAGCCGGAAGGAUGAAUUCUAUGACCCGACUCAAGAUUGCGAGCAUCCGCAACAUAUUGAAUCAACAGACUCAAAUGAUAAUGACAAAGGAUGCCAAUAAGAUUACUAUACUUAUGGGAUUUAACCAUAGUGCAAGCAAGCAAGAAUUUCAAGAGCAAUAAGCUGCUAAUGAUUUUCGAAAGAUCGAAUAGGAUUUCGAAGAUUUUUGUGAAACACUCAAACAACUGGGGAUGGAGAAUCUUCGGUAAUUGAGAGGAAUUAUUCGUAGGGGUAUUCAUGUGGUAAAGAACUUCAAGGCAAUUGCAGAAGGGGUUCUCGGGACAACGGAGAGUAUUUCGGGGCAUCUUUUAGAAACAAGAGCAACUAGGGACAAAGGUAUGAACGGCAACUGUAUGUACUUAUCCAUAAGGAUAUAUCGGUGGCAGUGAAUUGCAAAGGCGGUGGGCACAAGGAUCUCGGGAAAACAUCAAAGAGUAUCUUCGAAAUCUUCUGAUGAAGCAGGCGAUCAUCUGGAAUGAAGGGGCUCUCCGGUAGGAAGUGGUUGCGAGAACCUAAAGUUAGAGUUAGUAAAAUCUUUAACCCGAAUAGAAGAGAGAUCAGAAUCUCAGAGUAGAGACGAGGAAUAAAAGAUCCUAAUACCACCCAAUGGCGACAUGGGCCCAUAAGACACACAGCCAAUGUUAGUAAAAGUUUUUCAGUGACUAGACUCAACUCCGGCCAAGGAGUUGGAAAGGGGGCUACCUACAGGCAGUCGGCUCUGAUACCAACUUGUGACACCCUCGAUUCAAUCGUACACUAAUCAUACAUGCAAAUGUGUACGAUCAAGAUCAAGGACUCACGGGAAGAUAUCACAACACAACUCUAGACACAAAUUAAAAUAAUACAAGCUUUAUAUUACAAGCCAGGGGCCUCGAGGGCUCGAAUACAUAAGCUCGAAUACACAAGAGUCAGCGGAAGCAACAAUAUCUGAGUACAGACAUAAGUUAGACAAGUUUCCCUUAAGAAGGCUAGCACAAAAGCAACAACGAUCGAAAAGGCAAGGCCUCCUGCCUGGGAGCCUCCUAACUACUCCUGGUCGUCGGCGGUCUCCACGUAGUAGUAGGCACCCUCGGGGUAGCAGUAGUCAUCAGUGGUGUCGUCUGGCUCCUGGGAUCCGUCAUCUAGUCGCAACAAUCGGGUAUGGGGGAAAAGAGGUAGCAAAGCAGCCAUGAGUACUCAUUCAAAGUACUCGCAAGACUUACAUCAGAUCUAAACUAUGUAUGCAUCUGUAUCAAAGGAAUGGGUUGUAUUUGUGGACUAAACUGCAGAAUGCCAGUAGGGAAGGGAAAGCCUAGCCUAUCGAAGACUAGCAUCUUCUGGAAACCACCAUCAUGCAGCAACAGGAGGGAGUAGAGUAGCAUAAAGUAAAGUAGUAGAAGUGUUAUCAACCUCGGCCAGAGAUCCUUUCUCGACUCCUUGAUAGAAACCAAUCCCAGAGCCAUACUAUCCAGUUAUCAUCACAAUCCAAUUCUCAUCACCAUCCGUUUCUCAUCACAAUCCAUUUCUCAUCACAAGUAUCCAAUUCUAGUUGUAUCGAUCGGGAUGCAACUCCAAGUGUCCGUUACCGUAGGACAGGCUAUUGAUAGAUGUUUUCUUCCCCGCAGGGGUGCACCAACUUACCCACCACGCUCGAGUAACUCCGGCCGGACAUACUUUCCUGGGUCAUGCCCGGCCUCGGCCAAACAAUACCCCGCAACCCGACCAGGCUUAAUAGAGAGGCCAGCACGCCGGUCUAAACCUAUACCCCCAUGGGUCAUGGCCAUCUCCCCGGGAACUCCUGCAUGUUGCGUGCGCGGCCGGUGAGCAGACCUAGCUACCUCCUUCAACAAGGCAGGAGCUUACGCAGUCCAACCCGGCGCGCGCCGCUCAGUCACUGACGUCUAUUAAGCUUCGGCUGAUGUAUACGACGCAGAACGCCCAUACUAUGCCCACGUGAUGGUUAGUGCUAUCAGGCCAGAGGCUCCUCGGAUCAAAUAUUCAAUCGUAGUGGAUUAGGAACACGCGGUAACGAGCAGAGACUCACGAUCGAUGUGACCCCAUCGCGCCGUCUCGAGUACUUGCGGCAAGGGCUAAGAAUGCCCGGCCACGCCUCGUAAGUACCUCGCGGGCACCUUCCAGGUCAACCCGACUCCACAUCACUCGCUAUUAAGCUCGCGCGGGUACCCCUCAGGGUCGACCCGUCGUUAGUAACAUGGUUCAGUGUAAAGUCAUAGUAACCAUAGUAACUGUGUGUCUAACACCAAAGGGAAAAUCUGAGGAAUCACCCCCGGUGAAUCCCACUCAAUGUUAUCAUCAAUGUGAACGUAAGAGGAUCCACCCUCGAGGUUCACGUUUGAUGGGUUGCACGACAGAGCCGUAACGGAAGUGGUUAAGGAGGAAAUCACCCUCGAUGACCUCGACCGUAAAGCUACACUACGGAGAUCUCAUCAUGAGUGAUGUAAGAGGUUCCACCCUCGGCACUCGAUGGUAACUUUGCAGAGUUGUACAACUAGGGGGUGAUGUGCGGUGUCGGGGCCUGGACGUCGAUCACGUUAAUCGAGUCAUUGAACAUAAAGCGAGGCAAUUGGGACAAGGGGGGUCACUGAUGGAUCUCUAACCAACCUAUACUAAGCAGUUUAGAAUAAGCAGGUAACAAAAACAGGCUAUGCAUCAGAGUAGGAUCAUACAUAAAGCAGUAGCAGUUCUAAUGCAAGCAUGAGAGGGAAAGAAAUGGGCGAUAUAGAAUGCUCAAGGGGGGUUUGCUUGCCUGGCUGCUUUGGCAAGGAGGGGGGUCGUCGUCGACGUAGUCGAUCACAAGGGCAGCAUCGGUCUCGGGGUCUACCGGAGAGAAGAGGGGGAAGAAACAGUAAAUAUAAAGCAAACAUAGCACCACAAAGCAUAACAUGGCAAAAAGAUGUGCUGGGUGUGACCUAACGCGGUAGGAGGUGGUACCGGUAAAGGGGGGAACAUCCGAGAAAGUAUUCCCGGUGUUUCGCGUUUUCGGACAGACAAACCGAAGGAGAAAGCUAGGGAUGUGUGGCGGACGAACGGGCUACGUAUUCGGAUUCGUCUCAUCGUUCUGAGCAACUUUCAUGUACAAAAUAUUUUCAUCCGAGUUACAGAUUAUUUUAUAUGAUUUUUCAAAAUAUUAAACAUUUUCUAGAAUUUCAACAUUUAUUUAAUCGGAAUUGACCAAGUCAAAUUGACUGGUCAAAAGGAAAGGUUGGCCCACAUGGCAUAGACUAUACGUAAACGAAAUAAAUAAACUCUAACUUAACUAAAUGAGUCCACCUGCCAUAGGCUAGCAACUAACCUAACAAUGAUUACCUAAGUAGUCUAAGGGCCUGGUCUGAUGUUUUCCAACUCCAAACUUCACAAUUUCUCAGCCUGGUUACAGCCCGAACGCCUCAACUCCAAGAAGCUAAACUUCACGAAGCCAUCUUGGGCUGCAGUGUAAUUUUCUGAAGCUAGGGAAACACAACUCCAUGUUUACAAGAAUCUGGAGUUGGACAUAUUUAUGGCUAUACUGCCACCGCCAAAGAAAACGGUUCGAUCCCUAGCUCCUCAUCGCUCGUAAAAGGGUACCGCACGCACCGGCUGCUCCUCGUUCGCGCCAAUAUGGGCUGCUUUUAGCCGGCCCAAGGUGGCAACAGACGGGCCAGCAGUCCCCUAGCUGGACUGCCAGAUCAAAAUGGCGCUGGGAGAAGCUACGAGGCAGCCGAACGCUUUUGAGUCGCCACUUGAAGCGAGAAGUCAUGCGAGAAGCUGGAUCUAAAAAGUUUUAGAGAAGCUGGGCAGUUUCAAAACAGGCCCUAAAUUAGCCUAAACUAAUUAGGCCGGCCACACACAACACCUAUGCACACACACAGCCACAGCCACCACCACCAACAGCCAGCGAUUGCAGGCGGCAGUAGCAGCAGCAAAGCAACGCUAGCAGCGGCGGCUAGCAGUAUAAGAGCAGCAGCAGCACGGCCAGCAGCGGGAGUAGCAGCAGUUCAGCGGCACAUAGCAGGAGCAGCAGCACGGCAUCAGAAAUAGAGCAGCUGCGAGCGGACGCGAGGCCACGACAGUACAUAGAAGCAACAGCAGUACAGGAACAGCAGUACAGCGGCAGGGCCGCGGGCGGCUGCGGCACGGCACCCGUGGGCGCACGGCCGGGCCAGCCAGCGCGCAGGGGCGCAGCGGACACAGGACUGGGCACGGCCAGGGGCGCGGUGUGCGGAGGUGCGAGCAGGGGCGGCUAAAGGGGAGCGCGCGAGUGGGCGGCCUCGACGUGCUGUGAGGAGUGGAGGCGGACGAAUGCGUGCGUGGUCGCGCGUGACGGGCAGCGGCAGGAGGAACAACGCGAGCAGGCCAGGAGUGGAUGUGCGCGCGCGGACGCGGAACUCCGACCAUGGCGGCCUCGGGCGAGCACGGGUCUACGGCGACGGAUCGACAGCGGGACGAGGGGAAUUCAGAGGAGGAGCUCACCGUGGAGGCACAAGUAGGCCUGGUGGAAGGUUAGGAGCGCAGGAUUGGACGAACUUGAAGAAGAACGCCGGCGGUGAUCGAGGAAGAUGAAGCUCGAUCCGCACGAUGCGGUGGCUCCGGGCUUGAGCUCGUGGGCGAGGAAGACGAAGCAGACGACAGCGGUUCCGCGGGACCUCCCAGCUCGGAGUGGGGGCGACGAUGGUCGCGAGGUCGACGGCAACAAUGGCGACGGAGGCGUUCGGGAGUUGGGCUGAACUAGAGAGGGGAACGCCUGGGAGAGGGGAGACGUGGAUGAGAGCGGGAGUGAGGCCAGAGGGGAACCGAGGCGCCAGGGGGGCGGCCUUAUCCUCCCGUCGGUGGCGUACGGGGCGCGGCACCGGGUCUGGCGGGGACGAGCAGGAGUCCCCCUCCCGGUCGGUCGUACAGGGGAGAGGGAGACGACCCGGGGAGGGGUUGGGCUGCCUCGGCCUUUUGGGCCAAGGAGGUCUUUUGUUUCUUUUCGCCUGUUCUCAUUUUAGGUUUCGGUUUUCUUUUUGUUUUAUUUAAUACAGAGACAGAGGGAAAAGUUUGGGCUACCAAACUACUUUGAAAAAUUGUGGGACUAGGCCACUUAAAUUCUUUGUACUGAUUGGCACUGGCAUAAAAAGUUUGAGGGGCAAUUAAAUCCAUUUGGACUUUUCACAAUUAAAAUAGCAUUUUAAAUGCUGAAACUGCACUGUUUAAAUUGUUAUAGUCCAUCUUGGCUUGGAGGUGAUGUUGUUUUCCUUAUCAAUCAUUUGUUAUGGAUUUUUUUCUAAAUGAUGAACUAUUUUGCAACAACUUUUGUGCAACUUCAUAUUUCACUUUCAAAUUGAAUUUGAUUCGGAAGUGGGAUUUCAAAUGAUAUUUGAAUUAAAGGUGAUUAAGCACUGCUUAGCAAAGUGAUUAGCUUAAUCAUAGAGGGUUACUGUAGCAUGACACUGGGGGUGUUACAUCAAGACGGAGCCGCUCGAGUCGACACUCCGACGACACUGUCUCCGGCUUAAGUACCCCGACAUCGAACACUCUUCGUCGUGCCGCGUGUCAAGAUCCUCAAGCAAACCACAAUCCUCUACACGACAUCGACUCUCAAGAGCAAGCUCGCGCGCAAGAACAUCGACACCGUCAAAAUCAAGCUACAUUCGCGCAAGCACAAGAACGGCAACGCCAACGACAACAAGAACAAGAUGAACGAGCAUGACAACAUCAAGAUGCACAACGUCAAGAACAACAACUUCGUGAAGCUCAAGCACUUGAGAUGCAACGUGCCCUUCGAGAUUCAAGUCGUAUCGUAGCCAACCAGGGCCGACAAGCUCGUCUACACCAAGAAGCGCUUCACGAUGAAGCUCAAGAGAGGAUUUUCCAAGCACGCGUGCAUCGACAAGCUCCUCAACAAGCUCGACAAGCUCCUCCAUAAGCUCGCCAAGAACAUCAUGUUCAACAAGAGCAAGAUGAUAAUGGAAAUCCUCCAAGACAAGAGCAACAUGAGUUCGACAACCCUCCUCGCCAAGAGCAACAUGAGAUUGUCAAUCCUCAACGACAUGGGCGUCAUCAUCCCCGACCCCAACACAAUGAAGAGCAACGAUACGGCAAGCUAAAGUUCACCAUACCCAAGUUUUCUGGAAGCAAUGAUCCCGAGGAGUACCUAUCAUGGGCAUUGAAGGUUGACAAAAUCUUCGACUUGCACAACUAUGAAGAAGAGAAGAAGAUUGCGAUGGCAUCUCUUGAAUUCCAAGACCAUGUCCUCAUUUGGUGGGAACAAGUCAUUGAGCGCCAAGAGGUAAGAGGUGAACCACUCAUCACAACUUGGGCGCGAAUGAAGGAUGUCAUGAGAGCACGUUUCGUGCCUACCUACUACAACAGCGACCUGAUGUCUACUACAUAACCUUCUUCUUGUAGACGUUGUUGGGCCUCCAAGUGCAGAGAUUUGUAGGGCAGUAGCAAAUUUCCCUCAAGUGGAUGACCUAAGGUUUAUCAAUCCGUAGGAGGCGCAGGAUGAAGAUGGUCUCUCUCAAACAACCCUGCAACCAAAUAACAAAGAGUCUCUUGUGUCCCCAGCACACCCAAUACAAUGGUAAAUUAUAUAGGUGCACUAGUUCGGCGAAGAGAUGGUGAUCCAAGUGGAAUGUGGAUGGUAAAUAUAGGUUUUUGUAAUCUGAAAAUAUAAAAACAGCAAGGUAACUAAUGAUAAAAGUGAGCACAAACGGUAUUGCAAUGCGUUGAAACAAGGUCUAUGGUUCAUACUUUCACUAGUGCAAGUUCCCUCAACAAUAAUAACAUAAUUGGGUCAUAUAACUAUCCCUCAACAUGCAACAAAGAGUCACUCCAAAGUCACUAAUAGCGGAGAACAGAUGAAGAGAUUAUGGUAGGGUACGAAACCACCUCAAAGUUAUCCUUUCUGAUCGAUCUAUUCAAGAGUCCGUAGUAAAAUAACACGAAGCUAUUCUUUCCGUUCAAUCUAUCCUAGAGUUUGUACUAGAAUAACACCUUAAGACACAAAUAAACCAAAACCCUAAUGUCACCUAAAUACUCCAAUGCCACCUCAAGUAUCCGUGGGUAUGAUUAUACGAUAUGCAUCACACAAUCUCAUAUUCAUCUAUUCAAACCAAUACAAAGAACUUCAAAGAGUGCCCCAAAGUUUCUACCAGAGAGUCAAGACGAAAACAUGUGCCAACCCCUAUGCAUAGGUUCAUGGGCGGAACCCGCAAGUUGAUCACCAAAACAUACAUCAAGUGGAUCAAUAGAAUACCCCAUUGUCACCACGGGUAUCCCACGCAAGACAUACAUCAAGUGUUCUCAAAUCCUUAAAGACUCAAUCCGAUAAGUUAACUUCAAAGGGAAAACUCAAUCCAUUAUAAGAGAGUAGAGGGGGAGAAACAUCAUAAGAUCCAACUAUAAUAGCAAAGCUCGCGAUACAUCAAGGUCGUAUCACCUCAAGAACACGAGAGAGAGAGAGACCAAACACAUAGCUACUGGUACAUACCCUCAGCCCCGAGGGAGAACUACUCCCUCAUCAUGGAGAGUACCGGGAUGAUGAAGAUGGCCACCGGAAAGGGAUUCCCCCUCCGGCAGGGUGCCGGAACGGGUCUAGAUUGGUUUUCGGUGGCUAUAGAGGCUUCUGGCGGCGGAACUCCCAAUCUAUUAUGCUCCCCGAAGUUUUUAGGGUAUAUGGGUAUAUAUGGGAGGAAGAAGGACGUCGGUGGACCUCCGGGCUGUCCACGAGGCAGGGGGCGCGCCCGCCCCCCAUCCUCGUGGGCAGCCCGGGACUCUCCUGGUCCAACUCCGAUACUCCGUGGGCUUCUUCUGGUCCAAAAAUAAGUUCUGUGAAGUUUCAGGUCAAUUGGACUCCGUUUGAUUUUCCUUUUCUGCGAUACUCUAAAACAAUGAAAAAGCAGAAACUGGCACUGGGCUCUAGGUUAAUAGGUUAGUCCUAAAAAUCAUAUAAAAUAACAUAUAAAUGUAUAUAAAACAUCCAAGGUUGAUAAUAUAAUAGCAUGGAACAAUCAAAAAUUACAGAUACAUUGGAGACGUAUCACGACCUCUUCAAGAAACUCCAACUACUCAAGCAAGGAACCAAGAGCGUUGAAGAGUACUACAAGGAAAUGGAGAUUACCAUGAUAAGAGCCAAUGUCACGGAAGAUGAUGAGCAAACUAUGGCACGUUUCUUGAAUGGACUCAACCAUCCUAUCAAGAAGAUCGCCGACUUCCAACCAUACUCGAACCUCAUCAAGCUAGUGCAUCAAGCUACCAAAGCAGAACGCCAAGUGCAAGAUGACCUCAAGUACGCCAAGUUUUCAUCCAAGUCCUAUGGCUUAUCCAACAAUCAAGCUUCAACGACUCCAACACCUUCUACCUCAACCAAGCCAUCUACAAGCAACGGCGACAAGUCAAGUUACAAGAAAACUUCAACAAGCUAAAGUCAUCCUCCUACUACAAGCAACUCCAAGCCGAAAGAUUCAUCAUCAUCUACCCCAACCGAUGAGACGGCCAAGACAAGUUCCUUCAAAUGCUUCACAUGCGGAGGCCGAGGCCACAAGUCCUUUGAGCCUACAAACAAGCGCACCAUGAUCCUCAACGACAACGGAACCUAUGAUUCAAUGAGUGAAGGAGAAAUGGAAGCCCUUGAGCAAGUGGCCAUGCACCGUCAAGUGAACAACGAAGAUGAACAUGAUCAAGUCUUUUGCGAUGAAGAUUCAAGCCCCGCUCUUGUUGUCUCCAAGGUCUUGACUCUUCAACAUCAACAAGACGAAGACCAAAGAUGCCAUAUCUUCCACACAAAGACCGGCGUCAAUGGAAGGUCCGUCAAGGUCAUCAUCGAUGGAGGGAGUUGCCACAACCUAGCAAGUGCAGAACUAUGCUCCAAGCUUCAAUUGGUCAAGACGAAGCACCCGCACCCCUACUAGGUUCAAUGGCUAAGCGACACCGGCACUUUGCAAAUCGAGCAUAGAGUACAUGUUUCUUUCAAGAUCGGAGCUUACGAAGAUACUUUGGAGUGUGGUGUCAUCCACAACGGGCGUACAAACCAUUAUAGCUUCAAGAUGAAAGGGAAGGAGUAUGUGCUUGCUACCUCUUGAGCACUGCGUUGGAUUUCCUUGAAGAGGAAAGGAUGCUGCUACAAAGUAGCGUAAGUAUUUCCCUUAGUUUUUGAGAACCAAGGUAUCAAUCCAGUAGGAGGCUACACGCGAGUCCCUCGUACCUGCACAAAGCAAAUAACUCCUCGCAACCAACGCGAUAAGGGGUUGUCAAUCCCUUCACGGUCACUUACGAGAGUGAGAUCUGAUAGAUAUGAUUGGAUAAUAUUUUUGGUGUUUUUGUGAUAAAGAUGCAAAGUAAAAUAAAAGCAAAGGAAAUAACUAAGUAUUGGAAGAUUAAUAUGAUGAAGAUAGACCCGGGGGCCAUAGGUUUCACUAGUGGCUUCUCUCAAGAGCAUAAGUAUUUUACGAUGGGUGAACGAAUUACUGUUGAGCAAUUGACAGAAUUGAGCAUAGUUAUGAGAAUAUCUAGGUAUGAUCAUGUAUAUAGGCAUCAGGUCCGAAACAAGUAGACCGACUCCUGCCUGCAUCUACUACUAUUACUCCACUCAUCGACCGCUAUCCAGCAUGCAUCUAGAGUAUUAAGUUCAUGAAAACGGAGUAACGCCUUAAGCAAGAUGACAUGAUGUAGAGGGAUAAAUUCAUGCAAUAUGAUAAAAAACCAUCUUGUUAUCCUCGAUGGCAACAAUACAAUAUGUGCCUUGCUGCCCCUACUGUCACUGGGAAAGGACACCGCAAGAUUGAACCCAAAGCUAAGCACUUCUCCCAUUGCAAGAAAGAUCAAUCUAGUAGGCCAAACCAAACUGAUAAUUCAAAGAGACUUGCAAAGAUAACCAAUCAUACAUAAAAGAAUUCAGAGAAGAUUCGGAUAUUGUUCAUAGAUAAUCUUUAUCAUAAACCCACAAUUCAUCGGUCUCAACAAACACACCGCAAAAAGAAGAUUACAUCGAAUAGAUCUCCACAAGAGAGGGGGAGAACAUUGUAUUGAGAUCCAAAAAGAAAGAAGAAGCCAUCUAGCUAAUAACUAUGGACCCGAAGGUCUGAGGUAAACUACUCACACUUCAUCGGAGGGGCUAUGGUGUUGAUGUAGAAGUCCUCCGUGAUGGAUGCCUCCUCCGGCGGAGCUCCGAAACAGGCCCCAAGAUGGGAUCUCGUGGAUACAGAAAGUUACGGCGGUGGAAUUAGGGUUUUGGUUCGGUAUCUGAUCAUUUGGGGGUACGUAGGUAUAUAUAGGAGGAAGGAGUACGUCGGUGGAGCAACAGGGGGCCCACGAGGGUGGAGGGCGCGCCUGGGGGGGGGGGGGGUAGGCGCGCCCCCCUACUUCGUGGCCUCCUCCUUUAUUUCUUGACGUAGGGUCCAAGUCUCCUGGAUCAUGUUCGGUUAGAAAAACACGUUCCCGAAGGUUUCAUUCCAUUUGGACUCCGUUUGAUAUUCCUUUUCUUCGAAACCCUAAAAUAGGCAAAAACAGCAAUUCUGGGCUAGGCCUCCGGUUAAUAGGUUAGUCCCAAAAAUAAUAUAAAAGUGGAUAAUAAAUCCCAAUAAUGUCCAAAACAGUAGAUAAUAUAGCAUGGAGCAAUCAAAAAUUAUAGAUACGUUGGAGACGUAUCAAGCAUCCCCAAGCUUAAUUCCUGCUCGUCCUCGGGUAGGUAAAUGAUAAAAAUAGAAUUUUUGAUGCGGAGUGCUACUUGGCAUAAUUUUAAUGUAAUUCUUCUUAAUUGUGGUAUGAAUAUUCAGAUCCAAAAGAUUCAAGAUAAAAGUUCAUAUUGACAUAAAAAUAAUAAUACUUCAAGCAUACUAACUAAGCAAUUAUGUCUUCUCAAAAUAACAUGGCCAAAGAAAGUUCAUCCCGACAAAAUCAUAUAGUUUAGUCAUGCUCCAUUUUCGUCACACAAGAAUGCUCUCAUCAUGCACAACCCCGAUGACAAGCCAAGCAAUUGUUUCAUACUUUAGUAAUCUCAAACCUAUAAACUUUCACGCAAUAUAUGAGCGCGAGCCAUGGACAUAGCACUAUGGGUGGAAUAGAAUAUGAUGAUGGGUUAUGUGGAGAAGACAAAAAGGAUAAAGUCUCACAUCAACGAGGCUAAUCAAUGGGCUACAGAGAUGCCCAUCGAUUGUUGUUAAUGCAAGGAGUAGGGAUUGCUAUGCAACGAAUGCACUAGAGCUAUAAAUGUAUGAAAGCUCAACAAAAGAAACUAAGUGGGUGUGCAUCCAACUUGCUUGCUCACGAAGACCUAGGGCACUUGAGGAGGUCCAUUGUUGGAAUAUACAAGCCAAGUUCUAUAAUGAAAAAUUCCCACUAGUAUAUGAAAGUGACAAAACAAAAGACUCUCUAUCAUGAAGAUUAUGGUGCUACUUUGAAGAACAAGUGUGGCAAAGGAUAGUAACAUUGUCCCUUCUCUCUUUUUCUCUCUUUUUUUGGGACUUCCCUUUUUUAUGGCCUUUCUCUCCCUAUUUUUUUUAAUUCCUCACUUGGGACAAUGCUCUAGAAAAUGAUGAUCAUCACAUUUCUAUUUAUUUACAACUCAAUGAUUACAACUCGAUGCUAGAACAAAAGAUGGCUCUAUAUGAAUGCCUCCGGCGGUGUACCGGGAUAUGCAAUGAACCAAGAGUGACAUGUAUGAAAGAAUUAUGAGCGGUGGCUUUGCCACAAAUACUAUGUCAACUACAUGAUCAUGCUAAGCAAUAUGACAAUGAUGAAUGUGUGAUGAUAAACGGAACGGUGGAAAGUUGCAUGGGAAUAUAUCUCAGAAUGGCUAUGGAAAUGCCAUAAUAGGUAGGUAUGGUGGAUGUUUUGAGGAAGAUAUAAAGAGGUUUAUGUGUGAAAGAGUGUAUCAUAUCACGGGGUUUGGAUGCACCGGCGAAGUUUGCACCAACUCUCAAUGUGAGAAAGGGCAAUGCACGGUACCGAAGAGGCUAGCAAUGAUGGAAGGAUGAGAGUGUGUAUAAUCCAUGGACUCAACAUUAGUCUUAAAGAACUCACAUACUUAUUGCAAAAAUCUACAUCAAAAACCAAGCACUACGCGCAUGCUCCUAGGGGGAUAGAUUGGUAGGAAAAGACCAUCGCUCGUCCCUGACCGCCACUCAUAAGGAGGACAAUCAAAGAACACCUCAUGUUUCAAAUUUGUUACAUAACGUUUACCAUACGUGCAUGCUACGGGACUUGCAAACUUCAACACAAGCAUUUCUCAAAUUCACAACUACUCAACUAGCACGACUUUGAUAUUAUUACCUCCAUAUCUCAAAACAAUCAUCAAGCAUCAAACUUCUCUUAGUAUUCAAAACACUCAUAAGAAUUUUUUUACUAAUCUUGAAUACCUAGCAUAUUAGGAUUAUUUAAGCAAAUUACCAUGCUAUUUAAGACUCUCAAAAUAAUCUAAGUGAAGCAUGAGAGAUCAAUAGUUUCUAUAAAACAAAUCCACCACCGUGCUCUAAAAGAUAUAAGUGAAGUACUAGAGCAAAAUUAUAUAACUCAAAAGAUAUAAGUGAAGCACAUAGAGUAUUCUAACAAAUUCCAAAUCAUGUAUGGCUCUAUCAAAAGGUGUGUACAGAAAGGAUGAUUAUGGUAAACUAAAAAUUAAAUACUCAAAUCAUACAAGACGCUCCAAGCAAAACACAUAUCAUGUGGUGAAUAAAAAUAUAGCUCCAAGUAAAGUUACCGAUAGAAGUAGACGAAAGAGGGAAUGCCUUCCGAGGCAUCCCCAAGCUUUGGAUUUUAGGUGUCCUUAGAUUAUCUUGGGGGUGCCAUGGGCAUCCCCAAGCUUAGGCUCUUGCCACUCCUUGUUCCAUAAUCCAUCAGAUCUUUACCCAAAACUUGAAAACUUCACAACACAAAACUCAAAGUAGAAAAUCUCGUGAGCUCCGUUAGCGAAAGAAAACAAAAGACCACUUUAAGGUAAUGUAAUGAAAUCAUUCUUUAUUUAUAUUGGUGUUAAACCUACUGUAUUCCAACUUCUCUAUGGUUUAUAAACUAUUUUACUAGCCAUAGAUUCAUCAAAAUAAGCAAACAACACACGAAAAACAGAAUCUGUCAAAAACAGAACAGUCUGUGGUAAUCUGUAGCUAGCGCAAGAUCUGGAACCCCAAAAAUUCUAAAAUAAAUUGCUGGACGUGAGUAAUUUAUCUAUUAAUCAUCUGCAAAAAUAAUUAAAUAAAUACCACUUUUAAAAUAAAAAUGGCAGCAGUUCUCGUGAGCGUUAAAGUUUCUGUUUUUUACAGCAAGUGUAACAAGACUUUCCCCAAGUCUUCCCAAUGGUUCUACUUGGCACAAGCACUAAUUAAACAUAAAAACACAAACAAACAGAGGCUAGGUAAAUUAUUUAUUACUAAACAGGAGCAAAAAGCAAGGAAUAAAAAUAAAAUUGGGUUGCCUCCCAACAAGCGCUAUUGUUUAACGCCCCUAGCUAGGCAUAAAAAGCAAGGACAGAUCUAGGUAUUGCCAUCUUUGGUAGGCAAUCCAUAAGUGGCUCUCAUAAUAGAUUCAUAAGGUAAUUUAAUUUUCUUUCUAGGAAAGUGUUCCAUGCCUUUCCUUAACGGAAAUUGGAAUCUAAUAUUUCCUUCCUUCAUAUCAAUAAUUGCACCAAUCGUUCUAAGGAAAGGUCUACCAAGAAUAAUAAGACAUGAAGGAUUGCAAUCUAUGUCAAGAACAAUAAAAUCUACGGGCACAUAAUUCCUAUUUGCGACAAUAAGAACAUCAUUGAUUCUUCCCAUUGGUUUCUUAAUAGUGGAAUCCGCAAGGUGCAAGCUUAAAGAGCAAUCAUCAAAAUCACGGAAACCUAACAAAUCACACAAAGUCUUUGGAAUCGUGGAAACACUAGCACCCAAAUCACAUAAAGCAUAGAACUCAUGAUCUUUAAUCUUAAUUUUAAUAGUUGGUUCCCACUCAUCAUAAAGUUUUUUAGGGAUAGAAACUUCCAACUCAAGUUUUUCUUCAUAAGAUUGCAUCAAGGCAUCAACGAUAUGUUUAGUGAACACUUUAUUUUGACUGUAAGCAUGAGGAAAAUUUAGCACGAAUUGCAACAAGGAAAUACAAUCAAUCAAAGAGAAAUUUUCAUAAUUAAAUUCCUUGAAAUCCAAAAUAGUGGGUUUAGCAACAUCUAGGGUCUUAAUUUCUUUAGUCCCACUUUCAUCAAAUUUAGCAUCAAGAUCUAAAAACUCCAAAUUUUUGGAACGCCUUCUAGGUAAAGGUGGAUCAUAUUCAGUCCCAUCAUUAUCAAGAUUCAUAUUGCAAAACAAAGAUUUAAUAGGGGACACAUCAAUAACUUUUAGAUCUUCAUCUUUAUUUUCAUAAGAACUAGAAGAACACGCUCUUAUAAAGGCAUCUUUCUUAGCACGCAUCCUAGCGGUUCUUUCUUUGCACUCAUCAAUGUUGGGGAUAUCGCUUAUCGAGAACUUAUCGGUCGACCCAUGAUAAGGGGUAAAUCAGCAAGUUUAUCGGCAUAUCGGCCGAUUUAUCGUCAUAUCGGCUGAUUUAUCGGCCGAUUUAUCUUAUCAGCUAGACAACGAUAAGCGAUAAAUCGGACGAUUUAUCGGAAUAUCGGAAGAUAUCUUGAACAGUGGCACUCAUCAAUGGAAAUUCUCAUGGCUUUGAGAGACUCAUUGAUAUCAUGCUUAGGAGGAAUAGAUCUAAGUUUCAAAGAAUCAACAUCAAGAGAAAUUCUAUCAACGUUCCUAGCCAACUCAUCAAUCUUAAGCUAUUUUUGUUCAAUCAAAGCAUUGAAAUUCUUUUGCGAAGUAAUAAAUUCUUUAAUAUUAUAUUCAAAAUCAGAGGGCAUCUUAUUAUAAUUUCCAUAAGAAUUGUUGUAGGAAUUACCAUAAUUAUUAGAUGGAUUACUAGGAUAAGGCCUAGGAUUAAAAUUUCCUCUAUACGCGUUGUUACCAAAAUUGUUCCUACCAACAAAAUUCACAUCCAUAGAUUCAUUAUUAUUCUCAAUCAAAGUAGACAAGGGCAUAUCAUUAGUGAAAGAUCGUGGAUGUCGCCUAGAGGGGGGGGGUGAAUAGGCGUUUUAAAAUAAUUACGAUUUAGGCUUGAACAAAUGCGGAAUAAAACUAGCGGUUAAUUUGUCAAGCACAAAACCUAAAACAAUUAGGCUCACCUAUGUGCACCAACAACUUAUGCUAAUCAAGACAAGCAACUAUGUGAUAGCAAGAUAUAUGACAAGAAACAAUAUGGCUAUCACAAAGUAAAGUGCAUAAGUAAAGAGCUCGGGUAAGAGAUAACCGAGGCACGCGGAGACGACGAUGUAUCCCAAAGUUCACACCCUUGCGGAUGCUAAUCUCCGUUUGGAGCGGCGUGGAGGCACAAUGCUCCCCAAGAAGCCACUAGGGCCACCGUAAUCUCCUCACGCCCUCGCACAAUGCAAGAUGCCGUGAUUCCACUAAGGGACCCUUGAGGGCGGUCACCGAACCCGUACAAAUGGCAACCCUCGGGGGCGGUCACCGAACCCGUACACUUUGGCAACCCUUGGGGGCGGUCACCGGUACCCGUCAAAUUGCUCGGGGCGAUCUCCACAACCUAAUUGGAGACCGCGAUGCUUUCCCGGAGCUUUACACCACAAUGAUUGAGCUCCGAACAACACCAACCGUCUAGGGCGCCAAGGAACCCAAGAGGAACAAGCUCUAGGGUGCCCAAACACCCAAGAGUAAUAAGCUUCUCAAACUUCACUUCCACGUAUCACCAUGGACAACUCAAACCGAUGCACCAAAUGCAAUGGCAAGGGCACACGGAAUGCCCAAGUCCUUCUCUCUCAAAUCCCACCAGAGCAACUAAUGCUAGGGAGGAAAAUGAGAGGAAGAACAAGAAGGAGAACACCAAGAACUCCAAGAUCUAGAUCCAAGGGGUUCCCCUCACAUAGAGGAGAAAGUGAUUGGUGGAAAUGUGGAUCUAGAUCUCCUCUCUCUUUUCCCUCAAAAAACUAGCAAGAAUCCAUGGAGGGAGUGAGAGUUAGCAAGAUCAAAGAAGGUCAACAAUGGGGGCAAAAUCAAGCUCAAGAGAUAGGGAACCAUUGGGGAAGAAGACCCCCUUAAAUAGGUCCCCACGAAUCUGCCCGUUAUGUACAGAAUAACAUAGGAGCGGUACAACCUCUAUGAGCACCGGUACAACCGGUAGCAGGCAAUAAGCGGUACAACCGGCCCACAACCGCCCAACAACCGCACCACAACAGAGAACAGUCCGGUGGUAGAGCGGUACAUGACUGGUACAACCUCUGGACCAAUUCUGGAGCGGUACAACCGCUCCAAACACCGGUUGUACCGGUCAAGCGGUACAACCUCUCCAUGGGGCGGUACAACCUCUUUGUGUAAAACAGGCAAUAUCAAAACAGCCACAACUUUCGCAUACGAGCUCCGAAUUCAACGAAACCAAGUUUGUUGGAAAGCUAAUGACAAGGGCUAACACAAUCUUGAGAGAAAUAUCAAUAAGAAGCAAAUGAGAAAAGGACCAUAAUAAAAUGGUGAGAACCCUUCCUCGGAAAGACCGGCAAAACCUCCAACACCGAAAACAUCGUAGAAGAUGCAUGCGAACUCCGUUUUUGAUGAACUCAAGCUUGUCAUCAAGAUGACCAUAAGCUCUCAGACUCACAAAUGGAACCAAACAAGAACCAAGAAAUAUGAUGCAAGGAUGCAAUGGUUUGAGCUCUCGACUAAUGAUACGGUCAAGCUACUCCCUAAAGAGCCCCCCUUGAUAGUACGGCAAUCGAUCCUACAACCCGGUCUCCCAACUACCACUAUGAGACCGGUAAAAUAGAAAACCUAUCAAGGGCAAACCUUUGCCUUGCACAUAGUCCACUUGAGCUAGAUGAUGACGAUCUUGACUUCCUCAAGUUGGACCACCUUUCUUGAUUGUGUUGGCUCGAUGAAGACUAGUUGAUUGCUCCCCCAUACUCCACUAUGGGUGAGCCACUCUUUGGCACAUCUUCACAAUUACAUUGACACCACAAUGGACAACAAGCUUCAAGCUUGAUUGCUCCCCCAUACUCCAUUAUGGGUGAGCCUCUCUUCGAGUUGCUCCACUUGAACUUGCACACUGCAAACGUGAUGACGAUCACCACUUGAUGUCAUCCUCCAUGGGUUGUAUGAGAUCUUCCUCUUGACGCAAGACCAUGGAAACAUACCUAACCCCACAAAGAACUAUCACGUAGACCAUGGGUUGGUACACAAAGCGUGAUGGACAAUGCUUACCAUACCAUGGGAUCACUUGAUCCCUCUCGGUACUUCUUCUACGCUUUGUGAGUUGAUCAACUUGAUUCACUCUUGACUUAGUCUUGAUCAACAUUGAAUCUUUCCAACUCUCUUCAUUUGGAUGAUGUCUUGAAGGUAAACAUGAAUGAUCACACAAUCUUCUUCUUCAAGACAUGCUUGCAAUAAGCUCAACUCACACAUGACCAAUCUUUGGAUAAUUCCUUGAAAAGCACUUUGGCCAUCUCAACUCACACAUGACCAAUCUUUGGAUAAUUCCUUGAAAAGCACUUUGGCCAUCUCAUAAACUCCUUGAAACCAACACAUGGACUUCAACAAAUCCUUCAAAUAUAACUCAAGGCAACCGUUAGUCCAUAGAGAUUGUCAUCAAUUACCAAAACCACACAUGGGGGCACCACAUGUCCUUUCAAUCUCCCCUAUUUUGGUAAUUGAUGACAAUCAUUUUCAAGAGAGUUUAUAUAAGGAAUUAUUUAUCACCAUGCAAUGCAACAACCAAUAAUGCAUGUGUAUAAGAUGCAAAUGCUUAAGUACAAAACCAAAGCAAGAAGAAAAAAACUCUCUAAACUUAUCCACAAAACUCUCUGAAACUUCUCCCCCAUUGGCAUCGAUUGCCAAAAUGGGCGAAAAGCUUAGAAGGCCAAUAUAAAUUGUGUUCCUCCAUAAGUUGUGUAUUUCUCAACAAGAGAGUGGAAUGCAAUACACAUAUCCAACGGUAAUACUUGGAGGAAGACCAACUAUAUUGAGGCACCAAGAUUGCUAAAGGAAUGAUAUGCCACAAGGACAUAACAAAGAAAGAAACAAGCAAUCAAAAGGUACCAAUUGAAGCAAGCAAUCAACGGGUAUCAAUUGAACCAACUAGACCAAAGAUCCUACGAGCUACAUGAAUAAAGGAUAUUAUGAUAUGAGCGAAGGAGUGUUCUAAAGAAACUAGAGAAGCUCCCCAUGAUUUGUGCACACAUAAGAAUUUUUGUAUUUGGAUACAAAGUGCACAAAAUAGGAUCACAGCUCCCCCAAAAUCAAUAGAAACUUACAAUAAGUGCAAGUGAGCAUAUAGGAAACAAAGCCUAGUACUUGCAACACACACAUGGUUGAGCAACAAGUACUAAAAGAGGCAACUUAAGAAUGGGCUCAACCAAAAUGAUGUGUGUGAGUCAAGGCAAUGCACUUGAGAAGACUAAUGUACGGAUGAGCAUUAGGCAUCAAUAAAGUCUUGAAAGAACGAGGCACAUGGUGCAAGGCCUAUCAUUCCCACACACAACUAGCAAAUGGGUUCACAAGCUUACUAAUAAGUAUAUUAAGAACCUAUGCUUGUGACAACCCGUGGUGAAGAUAGAAGAUGAAAGCCUCAUCAAGACGAGAGAUACCAAUUAAGAUGGCAAAAGCCUCGUAAAGAUAAGCAUGAGGAAAAUAAUCUUCACCACACACAAGAGUGCAUCAAGAUGCAACGAUAGAAGACACGCACUCAAGGCAAAAGCUUUCACGGAGCCACCAAAGAAAUAACAUAAGAAAGAAAAGGUGGCCGUGAAAGAAAGGAUAUCAACUAGAUAUGCAACUUCUCUCAAGUGUAUAAGAUUCUAGGUAGACGAAAUCAUGAUGAUAUAUAUCUACAAAGAAGGAUGUACACCCGAAAUAGUUACAACACGAGGAACAAGAUAUCCAAAGGGAGGUCAUACAUAUACCAGUAAGAUAUUUUCUUGGAAGCAUAGCUCAUGGCUAGACAUGGUCUUAUUGUAUAUAAAUGAAGUCCACACACGAACAACAAAGACAUCACAACUAGCAAUAAGAGAUCAUUGUUGGGAUGCUUUGAGAAAGAAAACAAGUAUCACAAGAAUGAAUGAAUAACAUGCCAUGAUACAACCUACACAAGGUUGAUACAAGAAAUGUGUGCAUGAAGAAUAUGAAGAUACUUGUUACCGAGUUAACAUUGGAAGGAUGUAGUAGAUACCAAUUGAAGGUAGAUAGUAGUUCAUUGAUCAUCCUAGCUCGACUCCAAUAAGCACAUGAUGACAACACCUUCCUUGUGAGUGAGCCGAGCUUCCAAUGUAUCUCCAAUUGUUCCUAGAACAACAACACAAACAAAAUGGUACCCAAACUCAUUGGGACCAAAGAGUUAGAGAACCGACAAUACAUAGGACAAACUCCACAUAAAAAUGUGCACAUAGAUACGAAAAUAAAUUUCAUGCACAUCUCAUCCAAUUUGAGACUUGGUGGAGCUUCCCCUAUAUAUUUGGUCAAAGAAAGAAAGCAUGCCAAAGAUACUACACGAAGUUAAUACGCAUGCUCAAGACUUUCAAGAACCGAUACCAAAAGAAAAAGAAAUAGCAAGUGAAGAAAAGAUACCAAAUGAAUAAAUCAUCACUUGGAGGAUAUCAAUAAAAGAUACAUCAAGGAAUGAGAUAUCCAUUGAUACCCACUAAAUAAAGGAUAUCAAACCCCCAAAAGAGAGGAUGGUUCCAAACAAACCAAGCUCUCUACAAAGUUUCAUGAUGGCACAAAGUACCCAAAAGAAACGACUUGCCUUCCACCGACACACACUUGAUAAGGAUCACAAGAAGAGUGUUUUAUAGAAAAAUAGGAUAGCUCCCCCAAGCAUUGUGCAAUAUGGAGAAUUUGCAUUUGAAUACAAAAAGCACAAGAUGGGAUCACCACUUCACUAUAUCUAUACAAACACUAGACAAGAUCAAGAAAUAAACAAGAUCCACAAGUGGUAUGGAAGGCAAAGGGAGUUGAUACAAUCCUUGGCAAGAGAAAGGGCAAAUAAAAGCAAAGGCUAAUGUAAAGAUGAUCAAUAAUAUCUACCACACAAGUGAGUACCAAUUGUCAAAAGACAAGAAGUAUUUGGAAAUAAUUCCCGGUGGUAGAUAGCAAGGAUAUCCGACAUCAUCUUCACACCAAACAAAAAGCAAAUUGCAACUUGUAGAGCUAACAUGCCACCUAGGAACAAGAUAAUUUACAAUAUCAACUCUAGAUGACAAUAUCUCAAAUGUACACAUUUUCUAGGCUAGUAAUAUACACAUAGCAUAUUACUCCCCCAUAAUGUGAUACCAAUUAAAGAUAGACAAGAGGCAAUUAAAGGAUCCAACAAGAGAUAAUUAAUGGACUAUUUAGAAUUUGAAUUUCUCAUGAGAAGACAUACCACAUAGUGACUAGAUAAGCUUGCAAUAUCAAUACUAAGUGGUAUUUCCCAUGUACCCACCUUUAUAGGAUUGUAAAGUGCACAAAGCACAUCACUCCCCCAUAAUGGGAUAUUCCAUUAAUCUCUCACAAGAGCCAACUAAGAAAAAAAACAAGAUGCAAAAGUCUCAACGCAUGACACACAUGUACAUGAUGUGCAAACCAACACACACAUACUUGAUUGCUCAAGAUAAUCAAGUUGGAAGCACAACAUAUACAAACACAUGCAAGGUAUGAAACCAAACAUGCAAAGGGGCAAGUAACUAUCAAUGUAGACACUUUAAGCAUGAGUUACCACAAGGAGGAACAUUGGAUAUAAGAUAGAAACUUGAUAAUCCGAAUGACUUGGCUUGAGACAAUGAGAAUGAUGAAGUCCCCUUAAUUCUUCAUAAUGUAGCCAAGUCUCCAAUGACCUCCAAUAUCACCUAUUGAUCAAGUUUGAGCUUGUUGGUCCCAAACCAAGUUGGGUCCUAAGAGGUUAGUCACAAUAGGCUUGGCUACCCAAAUGGUUCUUUUCUUGACACCAUUUUGAGCACCAACAAAUUUGGCAAACACAUUGCCAACUUUAUCCUUCCCAAGAGAAUAGAUAUCAUCAAUUAGAAUAGGGUUGGAUAAGGUACCAUUUGUGCAUGAAGAAGCGACGUGACCUUUUUCACGACAUAGGUAGCAACAUCUACUCUUUACUUUCUUCUCACUUGAUUUCUCAACUUGAGAAGCAUUUGCUUGAGUUUUCUUGGGAAGAGGCCUUUCUUCAACUUGAGGUUGAGAAUGAGAGUGAACUUGUGGCCGCUUCCCUUGUUGCUUGUCAAUAAUGGGCUUCUUCUUCAAUGGGCAAGAUCUAACAUGAUGCCCUUCUACUUUGCACUUGAAGCAAACAAUCUUGGCCGAAUUCAUGACUUGUUCUUGGCCCUUCUUUUUGUUCACCUUGGACUUCUUCUUCUUGUUGGAGUUGAAUCCAAGUCCACCUUUGUCAUUGUGGGAUUUUUGCACACUCAAGAUAUUGUUGAGUGUGAAUUUCCCUUCAUGACUCUUUUCCAAGUCUUUCUUCAAAGAAGUGACUUGGGCCUUGAGCUCUUUGAUUUCCUCUACAUGGUUAGUCUCAACACAAGAACUAGAGGAAGUAUAAGAUUCAUCUUUAUAGCAACAAGGCAAGGAAAGCAAUUCAUCACAAGAUGUACCAAUGUUAUGCAUGGAUGAAUCGCGAGAACUAGCACAAGGCAAUAUAGCAUUUUGAAUAAAAGUGGUGCUAGUAUCCACAUGAGGCUCACUAGAUGUUACCUUAGCAAGCAUGGCCUCAUGAGCUAACUUUAGCACAUUAUGGGAUACUAGAAGAUCAUCAUGAGAGCUUGUGAGCUUUACAUGAUUUUCUUCCAACAUCCCAUAAUUGCUAGAUAGCAACUCAAGUUGAGCCCUUAGCUCAACAUUCUCCUUCAAUAUGGAUGCUUCACAAGAGAUAGAGUUAGUGGCACACGCAUCAUCAUUAGAAACAAGAGGAGAAGACAACUUGGCAAGCUCUUUUGAAUAUGAAGCUUCAAGUUGAGCAUGAGACUCGGUGAGUUUGAUGAGCUCACCCUUGAUGACCCUUGAGCCAUUUUCGAGGUGCUCAAAAUCCUCAAGGAGUCCAGCAUGAGCAACUUCAAGCUUAGCAUUUUUAGUUUCAAAAACAUCGGCCACCUCAAGAGCUCUAUCAUGAGAUUCCUUCACUCUAGAUAACUCUAGAGCAAAAGUCUCCUCAAGAGAUUCCUUGGUGGUUUGUUCAAGUUCAAGAGCUUGAGAGAGGUCUGCAAUCUCAUUAGCGUAAUCACGCUCAUGACCUUCCAUUUUAUCAAUGGUGACCUCAUGCUCCUCAAGACGAGAUUCCAACUCAUCAAUACAUUUCUUGCCCUCAAUAGCAAUAGACAUGAUUUCCAUGAAGUUGGAACAAGCAAUUUUAUUCUUAAGAAGAGCUUUAAAAAUUAUUUCCCCCUUAACUUUUAAGGAGGCAACAUCAUCAUUCUCUUCAUCAUAAUCGACAUCAUCAUCACUCUUGCCAUCAUCAAUAUUAUCACAAGAUAUAUUGGGAUUCAAAGUGGGAGAUACCUUUGAAGCCUUGGCCAUAAGGCAAAAAGCAACCGAUGAUGAUGUAGGAUCCCUUGAAGCACCGUUCAAGACCACAUCUUGUUCCAUGGAGUGUUGGGUUUCCUCUACAUUGUUAGCACAACAACUCAAGGAAAUAGAUACAUUUUUAUCAUGGCAACAAGACAUAGCAAGCAUAUCAUCAUGAGAUUUGAGCAAGCAAUUUCUACAAGAUAUGCAAGAACUUUUAACACAAGCAUGUGAAACAUUUAGAGUGCUCGAAGUGUUGAAGGAUCAUUGCAAUAAGAUAGUGAUGAAGGAUCAUCCACAAUAAGCAUACUAUCAUCAUUGCAAUGACCAACACUACUCACCAUAUCAUUACCUUGUGUCAAACCACAUGUAGGUGAAGUAGAAGAAGUUGAGAAGACUAUACGACCGGAGGUGGAGGGAGAACAAUCAUCCCCACAAAUCUUGGACACCAUAUUUUCUUGAAGCUUCGUCCACAACUCAUGAGCAUCCCGGAACGACAUGAGUUGAAAUAUAACUACAUUGCUCAAAGCAUCGAAAAGCACAUUAGAAGCUUGAGCAUUGAGAUAAGAGUUUUUCUCAUCCUCUAAAGAUAAUCUUUGGGGAUCCUUUGGAGGAGAAAAACCCAUAUCUACAAUUCGCUCUAAAUUUGGGUCCAUGAUUCUAAAGAGAUUAAGCAUGCGAAUUACCCAAACAUCAAAAUUUGUGCCAUCGAAACUAAGAGUGUCAGAGAAUCCUAAACCCCUAGUCGACAUCCUUACUCUCUAGGCGGUUAAGCCCAAUAAAGAGAGACGAUGCUCUGAUACCAAAUGAAAGAUCGUGGAUGUCACCUAGAGGGGGGGUGAAUAGGUGUUUUAAAAUAACUACGAUUUAGGCUUGAACAAAUGUGAAAUAAAACUAGCGGUUAAUUUGUCAAGCACAAAACCUAAAACAAUUAGGCUCACCUAUGUGCACCAACAACUUAUGCUAAUCAAGACAAGCAACUAUGUGAUAGCAAGAUAUAUGACAAGAAACAAUAUGGCUAUCACAAAGUAAAGUGCAUAAGUAAAGAGCUCGGGUAAGAGAUAACCGAGGCACGCGGAGACGACGAUGUAUCCCGAAGUUCACACCCUUGCGGAUGCUAAUCUCCGUUUGGAGCGGCGUGGAGGCACAAUGCUCCCCAAGAAGCCACUAGGGCCACCGUAAUCUCCUCACGCCCUCGCACAAUGCAAGAUGCCGUGAUUCCACUAAGGGACCCUUGAGGGCGGUCACCGAACCCGUACAAAUGGCAACCCUUGGGGGCGGUCACCGAACCCGUACACUUUGGCAACCCUUGGGGGCGGUCACCGGUACCCGUCAAAUUGCUCGGGGCGAUCUCCACAACCUAAUUGGAGACCCCGACGCUUGCCCGGAGCUUUACACCACAAUGAUUGAGCUCCGAACAACACCAACCGUCUAGGGUGCCAAGGAACCCAAGAGGAACAAGCUCUAGGGUGCCCAAACACCCAAGAGUAAUAAGCUUCUCAAACUUCACUUCCACGUAUCACCAUGGAGAACUCAAACCGAUGCACCAAAUGCAAUGGAAAGGGCACACGGAAUGCCCAAGUCCUUCUCUCUCAAAUCCCACCAGAGCAACUAAUGCUAGGGAGGAAAAUGAGAGGAAGAACAAGAAGGAGAACACCAAGAACUCCAAGAUCGAGAUCCAAGGGGUUCCCCUCACAUAGAGGAGAAAGUGAUUGGUGGAAAUGUGGAUCUAGAUCUCCUCUCUCUUUUCCCUCAAAAAACUAGCAAGAAUCCAUGGAGGGAGUGAGGGUUAGCAAGCUCAAAGAAGGUCAACAAUGGGGGCAAAAACAAGCUCAAGAGAUAGGGAACCAUUGGGGAAGAAGACCCCCUUAAAUAGGUCCCCACGAAUCUCCCCGUUAUGUACAGAAUAACAUAGGAGCGGUACAACCUCUAUGAGCACCGGUACAACCGGUAACAGGCAAUAAGCGGUACAACCGGCCCACAACCGCCCAACAACCGCACCACAACAGAGAACAGUCCGGUGGUAGAGCGGUACAUGACCGGUACAACCUCCGGACCAAUUCUGGUGCGGUACAACCACUCCAAACACCGGUUGUACCGGUCAAGCGGUACAACCUCUCCAUGGGGCGGUACAACCUCUUUGUGUAAAACAGCCACAACUUUCGCAUACGAGCUCCGAAUUCAACGAAACCAAGUUUGUUGGAAAGCUAAUGACAAGGGCUCACACAAUCUUGAGAGAAAUAUCAAUAAGAAGCAAAUGAGAAAAGGACCAUAAUAAAAUGGUGAGAACCCUUCCUCGGAAAGACCGGCAAAACCUCCAACACCGAAAACAUCAUAGAAGAUGCAUGCGAACUCCGUUUUCGAUGAACUCAAGCUUGUCAUCAAGAUGACCAUAAGCUCUCAGACUCACAAAUGGAACCAAACAAGAACCAAGAAAUAUGAUGCAAGGAUGCAAUGGUUUGAGCUCUCGACUAAUGAUACGAUCAAGCUACUCCCUAGAGAGCCCCCCUUGAUAGUACGGCAAUCGAUCCUACAACCCAGUCUCCCAACUACCACUAUGAGACCGGUAAAAUAGAAAACCUAUCAAGGGCAAACCUUUGCCUUGCACAUAGUCCACUUGAGCUAGAUGAUGACGAUCUUGACUUCCUCAAGUUGGACCACCUUUCUUGAUUGUGUUGGCUCGAUGAAGACUAGUUGAUUGCUCCCCCAUACUCCACUAUGGGUGAGCCACUCUUUGGCACAUCUUCACAAUUACAUUGACACCAAAAUGGACAACAAGCUUCAAGCUUGAUUGCUCCCCCAUACUCCAUUAUGGGUGAGCCUCUCUUCGAGUUGCUCCACUUGAACUUGCACACUGCAAACGUGAUGACGAUCACCACUUGAUGUCAUCCUCCAUGGGUUGUAUGAGAUCUUACUCUUGACGCAAGACCAUGGAAACAUACCUAACCCCACAAAGAACUGUCACAUAGACCAUGGGUUAGUACACAAAGCAUAAUGGACAAUGCUUACCAUACCAUGGGAUCACUUGAUCCCUCUCGGUACUUCUUCUACGCUUUGUGAGUUGAUCAACUUGAUUCAUUCUUGACUUACUCUUGAUAAACAUUGAAUCUUUCCAACUCUCUUCAUUUGGAUGAUGUCUUGAAGGUAAACAUGAAUGAUCACACAAUCUUCUUCUUCAAGACAUGCUUGCAAUAAGCUCAACUCACACAUGACCAAUCUUUGGAUAAUUCCUUGAAAAGCACUUUGGCCAUCUCAACUCAGACAUGACCAAUCUUUGGAUAAUUCCUUGAAAAGCACUUUGGCCAUCUCAUAAACUCCUUGAAACCAACACAUGGACUUCAACAAAUCCUUCAAAUAUAACUCAAGGCAACCGUUAGUCCAUAGAGAUUGUCAUCAAUUACCAAAACCACACAUGGGGGCACCGCAUGUACUUUCAAUUAGGAUCAGAAGAAACACUUUUACUAGCAAAUAAUUUCAUAAGUUCAUCCAUCUUUCCACUCAAAACAUUAAUUUCUUCUAUCGCAUGCACCGUUUUAUUAGUAGAUAUUUUAGUAUGCCAUUGAGAGUAAUUAACCAUAAUAUUAUCUAGGAGUUUAGUAGCUUCUCCUAAAGUGAUUUCCAUAAAAGUGCCUCCCGCGGCCAAUCUAAAAGAUUUCUAGAAGCAAAAUUCAAUCCGGCAUAAAAAAUUUGUAUAAUCAUCCACAAAUUCAAACCAUGAGUAGGGCAAUUACGUAUCAUUAAUUUCAUCCUCUCCCAAGCUUGUGCAACAUGUUCAUGUUCAAGUUGCUUAAAAUUCAUAAUAUCAUUUCUAAGGGAGAUGAUCUUAGCGGGAGGAAAAUACUUAGAGAUAAAAGCAUAUUUGCACUUGUUCCAAGAAUCAAUAUUGUUUUUAGGCAAAGACGAAAACCAAGCUUUAGCACGAUCUCUAAGCGAAAAAGGAAAUAGUUUCAACUUAACAAUAUCGUUGUCCACAUCUUUCUUCUUUUGCAUAUCACACAAAUCAACGAAGCUAUUUAGAUGGGUAGCGGCAUCUUGACUAGGAAGGCCGGAAAACGGAUCUUUAAUGGCAAGAUUCAGCAAAGCGGCAUUAAUUUCACAAGAUUCAGCAUCGGUAAGAGGAGCAAUCGGAGUGCUAAUAAAAUCAUUGUUGUUGGUAUUGGUAAAGUCACACAAUUUAGUGUUAUCUUGAGCCAUCGUGACAAGCAAGCAAUCCAACACACAAGCAAACAAAAAGCAAGCGGGCAAAAAGAGGCAAAUAGAGAAAGAGAGGGAUGAUAGAGAGAGAGGGCGAAUAAAACGGCAAGGGUGAAGUGGGGGAGAGGAAAACGAGAGGCAAAUGGCAAAUAAUGUAAUGCGGGAGAUAAGGGUUGUGAUGGGUACUUGGUAUGUUGACUUUUGCUUAGACUCCCCGGCAACGGCGCCAGAAAUCUUCUUGCUACCUCUUGAGCACUGUGUUGGAUUUCCUUGAAGAAGAAAGGAUGAUGCAGCAAAGUAGCGUAAGUAUUUCCCUUAGUUUUUGAGAACCAAGGUAUCAAUCCCGUAGGAGGCUACGCGCGAGUCCCUCGUACCUACACAAAGCAAAUAACUCCUCGCAACCAACGCGAUAAGGGGUUGUCAAUCCCUUCAUGGUCACUUACGAGAGUGAGAUCUGAUAGAUAUGAUAGGAUAAUAUUUUUGGUGUUUUUGUGAUAAAUAUGCAAAGUAAAAAAGCAAAGGAAAUAACUAAGUAUUGGAAGAUUAAUAUGAUGAAGACAGACCCGGGGGCCAUAGGUUUCACUAGUGGCUUCUCUCAAGAGCAUAAGUAUUUUACGGUGGGUGAACGAAUUACUAUUGAGCAAUUGACAAAAUUGAGCAUAGUUAUGAGAAUAUCUAGGUAUGAUCAUGUAUAUAGGCAUCACGUUCGAGACAAGUAGACCGACUCCUACCUGCAUCUACUACUAUUACUCCACUCAUCGACCGCUAUCCAGCAUGCUUCUAGAGUAUUAAGUUCAUGAAAACAGAGUAAUGCCUUAAGCAAGAUGACAUGAUGUAGAGGGAUAAAUUCAUGCAAUAUGAUAAAAAACCCAUCUUGUUAUCCUCGAUGGCAAAAAUACAAUAUGUGCCUUGUUGCCCCUACUGUCAGUGGGAAAGGACACCGCAAGAUUGAACCCAAAGCUAAGCACUUCUCCCAUUGCAAGAAAGAUCAAUAUGGUAGGCCAAACCAAACUGAUAAUUCGAAGAGACUUGCAAAGAUAACCAAUCAUACAUAAAAGAAUUCAGAGAAGAUUCAAAUAUUUUUCAUAGAUAAUCUUGAUCAUAACCCACAAUUCAUCGGUCUUAACAAACACACCGCAAAAAGAAGAUUACAUCGAAUAGAUCUCCACAAGAGAGGGGGAGAACAUUGUGUUGAGAUCCAAAAAGAGAGAAGAAGCCAUCUAGCUAAUAACUAUGGACCCGAAGGUCUGAGGUAAACUACUCACACUUCAUCGGAGGGGCUAUGGUGUUGAUGUAGAAGCCCUCCGUGAUGGAUGCCCCCUCCGGCGGAGCUCCGAAACAGGCCCCAAGAUGGGAUCUCGUGGAUACAAAAAGUUACGGCGGUGGAAUUAGGGUUUUGGCUCCGUAUAUGAUCGUUUGGGGGUAUGUAGGUAUAUAUAGGAGGAAGGAGUAUGUCGGUGGAGCAAUUGGGGGCCCAUGAGGGUGGAGGGCGCUUGGGGGGGGGGGGGUAGGUGCGCCCCCUACCUCGUGGCUUCCUCCUUUAUUUCUUGACGUAGGGUCCAAGUCUCUUGGAUCAUGUUUGGUGAGAAAAUCACGUUCCCGAAGGUUUCAUUCCAUUUGGACUCCGUUUGAUAUUCCUUUUCUUUGAAACCCUAAAAUAGGCAAAAAAAAACAGCAAUUCUGGGCUGGGCCUCCGGUUAAUAGGUUAGUCCCAAAAAUAAUAUAAAAGUGGAUAAUAAAGCCCAAUAAUGUCCAAAACAGUAGAUAAUAUAGCAUGGAGCAAUCAAAAAUUAUAGAUACAUUGGAGACGUAUCAGUGCUACGACCUAUGUCUCCAAGCCAAGUGAUCGCGGAUAAGCAAACCACCCAUAGUGGAGAGAAUAGUGAGUGAGCGAACCACCAAAAAGAGAGUGAGCGCCACAAGCCAAAAUUGAGUGCCUCCAUGAUGAGCAUCAAGAAGAACUUAGUCCUAUUUUCCACCAAACGUGAGAUGAGAGAAGUGUGUGACAACCCAUCAAGUGUCCUACACUGUCCUUUUGUGCAAGGACGAGGCACCAAAACCUAACACCUCUCACGAUCUACCUUUAGUGCUAUCUUAUUUAUUGCAGGAAUUCCAAGAUGUUUUCCCCGAUGAGCUACCUCCGGGUCUACCUCCACUACGAGGCAUCGAGCACCACAUUGACCUCAUCCCCGGAGCACCACUUCCAAACAAGGCUCCAUAUCGAGUCAACCCCGAAGAAACCAAAGAAAUCCAAAGGCAAGUAAAGCAUCUCAUAGACCAUGGACAUGUGCGUGAAAGUAUGAGUCCUUGUGACGUACCGGUCAUUCUUGUGCCAAAAAGAGACGGUAGCUUUCGCAUGUGUUCCAAUUGUAGACCCAUCAAUGCUAUCACCAAUCACUAUAGGUACCCCAUUCCACGCCUUGAUGAUAUGCUUGAUGAACUUAGUGGUGCCACUAUCUUUUCCAAAAUUGAUCUUAAAAGUGGUUACUAUCAAAUCCGCAUACAAGAGGGUGAUGAAUGGAAAACCGCUUUCAAAACUAGGUUUGGUUUGUAUGAGUGGUUAGUCAUGCCUAUGGGUUUAUCCGAAGCACCCGGUACUUUCAUGCGUCUUAUGAAUCAUGUGUAUCGACCUUAUAUUGGUAAAUUUGUUGUGGUAUACUUUGACGAUAUCCUUGUUUUUAGCAAUCUCUCAAAGAGCAUGUCACCCACCUUCGCACCGUGCUACAAACUCUUCGAAAAGUGCAACUUUAUGCUAAUACAGAAAAUGCCUUUUCGGUGUUGAUAAGCUUGUUUUCUUGGGUUUCGUGGUAUCUUCUAAGGGUGUUCAUGUUGAUGAAUCUAAUAUCAAUGCUAUUAAAACUUGGCCCCAACCAACAAAUUUGCAACAAGUGCGUAGUUUUCUUGGUUUAGCCGGUUUCUACCGUAGAUUUGUGAAAAACUUCAGCACUAUUGCUUCUCCUUUACAUGCUUUGAGCAAGAAUAAUGCACCAUUUGUUUGGGGACCAUCGCAAGAUACCGCAUUCAAUGAGCUUAAGAAUUUGCUUACUCUUGCUCCCGUGCUUGCAUUACCCAACUUUGACAAACCUCUUGAAAUUCAUUGUGAUGCUAGUGGUAAUGUCAUAGGAGGUGUGUUAACGCAAGAGAAGCGCCCCAUAGCAUAUUUUAGUGAGAAAUUUUUCGGAGCGCAACUCAAUUACCCCAUCUAUGACAAAGAGCUAUAUGCUUUAGUGCGAGUUUUGCAUGAAUGGUAACAUUACCUUCGCCCUCAUGAAUUUAUCAUCCAUACUGACCAUGAAACACUUAAAUAUCUUAAGGGUCAAACUAAGUUGAACAAAAGUCAUGCUAAAUGGAGUGAGUUCAUUGAGUCUUUUCCUUAUGUCAUCAAGUAUAUUAAAGGCAAGGAAAAUGUUGUGGCGGAUGCACUUUCCCGUAUAUGCAUGCUCGUUACUCAACUUGAAUUGAAUGUCCUUGGCUUUGAGCAUAUAAAAGACUUGUAUGAGCAUGGUCCUACUUUUGCUAUUCCUUAUGCCAAAUGUUUGACGCAUACAUCUUGGGAACAUUAUUACAUCAAAGAUGGUUACCUUAUGAGAGCUAACAAACUAUGCAUCCCCGAGUCUUCUCUUCGUUUGUUGCUUUUGCAAGAAUCUCAUGGCGGAGGACUAAUGGAACAUUUUGGACGCGACAAGACAUUUGCCACGCUCUCCAAGAACUACUUUUGGCCUAAGAUGUUUCGUGAUGUCAACCGCUUCACCAACCGAUGCUCCACAUGUCGCAAAGCUAAGUCUAAAGCUCAAUCUCAUGGCCUUUACAUGCCACUUCCAAUUCCAUAUCAACCAUGGGAAGAUAUUAGCAUGGAUUUUGUACUUGGUAAGCCUAGAACUAGAAAUGGAAAGGAUUCUGUCUUUGUUGUUGUGGACCGAUUCUCAAAAAUGGCACAUUUCAUUCCAUGCAACAAGAUAGACGAUGCUUCACAUGUUGCAAAUAUCUUUUGUAGCACUACAAAAAAAUACACUUCCGUGAUGAUACGUGUUUGUCACAGUAGGUUGCGUUUUUUUGUCAUGCAUGUACAUCCAUGAUGAUUUUAUGAUAGAAUCAAGAUAGUCAUACAUGUGCUAUCGUAGAAGUGUUCCAUGACAUUGCCAAAAUAAUCAUCACGGAAGUGUCCACUUCCAUGACGAUAAAUCACGCGUCAUAGAAGUGCUUUCGUCAAGGGUGACCGACACAUGGCAUCCACCAUAACGGAACGCCGUUAAGCUAUCGGGUCCGGUUUUGGAUCCGAUAACCUGUUAACAGCCCAGACCAAUUGGGAUUUUCCACGUGUAAAAUCAUCAUUGGCCGGAGGAAACACAUGUUGCCUCACCGUUGGGACAGAUGUCAUCCACUCAUUGGACAGGAGGCGCCUAUGAUAGGUCGACUUAUGGCACGGCCCAACAGUGGCCCAUUCCGAUGAAAAAGGCCGGCCUAGUAAAAAAUAGUAGGCCGGCCCAUAUAAGGUCUACUUGUGUCAGGUCCAUUUAAGCCCAUGGCCCAUACGAGAUGCGCCAAUUCAGCCCGUCAACGGCCCAUUAAAAAUUUGACACCAUUGCAGCCCAUCGUGAGUUCGAGCCCGUUAACUGCCCGCUAUAUAUUUGGGCUCAAUAUCGGCCCGAUGAGAUUUUGGCCUGUUAACAACCAAUUCAAUGGAUGGGCCAAUUUUCACGAUGUACAUCUUUCGGCCUUUUAGCGACCCAUUUAAAUGUUGGGCUAAUUUCCGGCCUGGUGUGUCUUUCAGCCUGUUGACGGCCCAUAAAUCAGUUGGGCCAUUUGUAGUCAGACCUGAGUUUCGGCCUUUAGCGACCCAUUUAAGUGUUGGGCCAAUUUCUGGCCCGGUGUGUCUUUCAGCCUGGUGACGGCCCAUAUAUCUGUUGGCCAUUUGUAGUCGGACCUGAGUUUUGGCCUUUUAGCGACCCAUUUAAGUGUUGGGCCAAUUCCUGGCCCUGUGUGCCUUUCAGCCUGUUAACAGACCAUAAAUGAGUUGGGCCAUUUGUAGUCGGACCUAAGUUUUGGCCUUUUAAUGGCCCAUGCCCUUCAUGGUCCAAUACCAGCCCGGUUUCUCUUUCGGCCUGCUAAAGGCCCACAACACAGUUGGGCCAUUUACAAUACGACCUGACUUUCGGCCUCUUAGCGGCCCAUGCUCUUCAUGGUCCAGUACAAGCCUGCUGUCUCUUUCGGCCUGCUAAAGGCCCACAGUAUAGUUGGGCCAUAUGUAGCCCGAACUUAGUAAUGGUCUGUUAACGGCCCGUGAAAUCAAUUGGGCCCACCUGUUGCCCGCUUUGAUGUUGGCCUAUUAACGACCAGGGAAUUAAGAGGGCCGACCAUUAACUUCCGGUCUGGUAAUGGCCCAUUAACUUAAUGGGCCCACUAAAGUUCGUACAUGUCUUUAGGCUAAAUUAGAUAAUUUGAGCCCAUUACGACGAGCAAGUGCACAGGACCAAAACCGAUCAAGCAAAGGUACGGCAUACAGGGAAAAAUGUUGCACAUCCAGCAUAUAUUACACAAAAUUACAUCCACUGGUAAAUAAAAAUGCUAGUGCAAAUAAAUGAACAAAACCUAACGAUCUACAACGUCACAAUCUGCAACCUCAGCACGGAUGACGCCCAUAAGCAUGUCGGCAAGUUCUUGCUACUUUGCUACACUGUCUCUGAAAACAUUGAUCAGUUGUUGUGUCGCACGACUCUGCACCUCUGAUUUCUCCACCAUUUCCAUCAUUCCUUCAGCCAUUAAUUGUUUCACAAACAUACAUUUUUUCUGUUGCAUUCGAGACAGAGGAUACUGAACAGAUUCAGAUGGUGAUUUUGGCAAGCUUGUAUUAUUGAUAGUGGAGAGUGUCUCGACCACUGCAUCAUAACAUAAAUUAGGAGGGGAACCAAACAUAUUAAUCAUGAGUUAUUGGCAUAUUACCAGGCCUAGAUUUAUUGGAAAGAAACAAUGGGGUUGCCUUGCUGUUUUCAGAGUUUGUCUUCUUAUCUUCAAUAGCCUGCACCAAAUUAAGACACUAGCAUUGCUAUCAUUGGCCAAGUCAGAUAAUAGGAAAGAAACAUUGGCACAACAAACGUUUGGGAAACUAGCCAACACCAAAUUAACACAAUAUGGCACAACUAUCAUCAGCUAGGUAAGGUAAUACGAAAGCAACAUUGACACAAUGAAUGAAUGGGCAACCAGAGCAGCACUACAAUUCAGUGAUGUGCAUGAUAUGAGAUAGUACACUCAUGUAGCUCAGUAUGCAAAACUAACAGGCAGUGUUCUUUACAAAAAUCAACAUUGGCGCCUUUAACAUUUUGCUACAACUAAUUAUAGAUCAGAUAAAGGUUGGAUUCACGCCGAUUAACAAAAUACAUGCUGAUGUAAAAAUAUAGUGAUAUACAACAGGUACUUACAUCAGCAUUGGAGCACAGAGAAUUCCUGCAAGAUAUUUUCCUCGAAUACAAUCCCAAUCAAGGAAGUCUUCUAUCAUUUAACCUUAUUUUCUAAAAGAGAGAUGGGUAAGAAACAUGUAGAAAAUAUGAUCAGAAUGCUAUAAAAUUUCAUGAUGUGAGGAUACUCACAUGCUUCUUAGAAUGGAGUUGACAUUCUUUUGCUGGACAGGAGCGGACUAGUUCUUUGGCCACUGGAAUCUGCUUAUUAUCAGUGGGAGUUGGGUUUCUCUGUGCUGGAGCAGUAUCUAUGAAAAAUGGAGUUGUUUUAUUAUCUCCUGGCAUUUGGAUCUUUUGCAAAGACCUGGUUUGUAACCCUUCAGGUUCUAACAUAGCCUUCUUCCCCUUGCAUGCCUUAUAUAGAAGAAUGGUGCUUCAAUUAUAACACAUGCUACAGCAGAGAUGGAAUAGGUACUGAAGAAUAGAAAGGCAUGACAUAUUGACAUGUAUUCCCUCCAUCCGAAAAUAAAUGGAUGGGUCUAGGCGUAUUUCAGUUCUAGAUACAUCCAGUUUUAUCCAUUUCUGCGACAUGUAAUCCGGACGGAGGGAGUAUGAUGUAAGAGCUAGGGAUACGACAGGACAACACAGUAAAAAAACACUGAAAACCCACUGCAGAACCAAAGUAGUCAAACCCACUGAUAUGAGAUAGUACACUCAUGCAGCUCAGGAUGCAAAACUACCAGGCAGUUUUCCUUACAAAAAUCAACAUUGUGGCCUUUAAUCAUACAUUUUGCUACAACUAAAUUUAGAUCAGACAAAGUCUGGAUUCACGCCGAUUAACAAAAUACAUGCUGAUGUAAAAAUAUAGUGAUAUACAACAGGUACUUACAUCAGCAUUGGAGCAUAGAGAAUUCCUGCAAGAAUCUUUCCUCACAAACGAUACCAGUGCAUAAAUUCUUCUAUCUGUUAAGCUUAUUUUCUAAAAGAGAGAUGGGUAAGAAACAUGUAGAAAUAUGAUCAGCAUGCUAUAAAAUUUCAUGAUGCAAGGAUACGCACACGCUUCUUAGAAUGGACUUGACAUAUUUUUGCUGGACUGGAGCGGACUAGUUCUUUGGCCACUGGAAUCUGCUUAUUAUCAGUAGGAGUUGGGUUUCUCUGUGCUGGAGCAGUAUCUAUAAAAACUGGAGUUGGUUUAUUAUCUCCUGGUGUUUGGAUCUUUUGCAAAGACCUGGUUUGUAACCCUUCAGAUUCUAACAUAGUCAUCUUCCCCUUGCAUGCCUUGUAUAGAAGAAUGGUGCUUCAAUUAUAAAACAUGCUACAACAGAGAGAUGGAAUAGGUACUGACAUAUUGACAUGUAUUCCCUCCAUCCAGAAAAAAAUGGAUGGGUCUAGGCGUAUUUCAGUUCUAGAUACAUCCUUUUUUAUCCAUUUCGGCAACAUGUAAUCUGGACGGGGGGAGUAUGGUGUAAGAGCUAGGGAUACGACAGGACAACACAGUAAAAAAACACUAGUUGAAUGUAAAACUGUAUGCUAGCGGAAUACGUACAGAAAAAACUAAGGCAACAUACACAUGUAUGAUUGGGAAACUAAGAUGGCAUUGCAACAGAGCACUAGAACAUCACUUCAAUGUAAAAAAACAUGGUAUGGUAGACAGAUGAAGUACAUACUGAUGAAUAACAAUGCAUAAGAUAUUCAGAAGCAUGAUGUCCAAAUUAAGUAGAUGACAGUGCGAUAGAGUAGAAUGACAGUACUUGAAUUUGAAAACAUGAUAUCAUGAAUGGAAUAGUUACUGAAAAACAUGAAGGCAUGACAUAUUUACAUGCAUGAUCAGCAUGCUAAGCACAUGGCAUUGCAGCAGAGUAGAUACACUCCAGAACAUUAUAUGCAUGUUAUACCCAUAUCAUGGGCAAAGUUAGAGCAAGGACCUUGUGGGGUGAAGAGGAUUCAACAUCUUUCUGCAAGUCUUCUGAAGAACUGCCUUUACAUGUUCCAUCAUAUUGGGUAUCAUUUACAUCAAGUUUAUUGGCCUUUACAUUGCUCCGUGAGGUUCUUGUGGAUAUAUUAGUGUGUGCAAUUAUAUCUGACAUGCAUGGAAAACAACAAGUAGUUAGAUUUAUGUAAUGAGUGCCUAUAGGAGACGACAUAAAUAGUAGGACCGGGGUUAACUAGCAGCAACAGGUCUCAAAAACUAAAGGGAGAACACAGAUGAAAGCUACAAAAUAUGUGUCAUUUGUAUUCGAGAUUAACUAGAUGGCACACAAAAGUAUUAAGAACAACAUAGGUAAUACUAGAAGUGGUAUAAUACUAUAAUCACCAGCUUGUGGGAUAGCAUUGGCUGAUGGAUGAUAACUAUGGAACAACGUUACCUAAAGAACAAGUAUCUUAGCUGAACUAUGGAACAACAUUAACUCCUGAAAAAGACCCGUAAGAGAUCAGCAUGAAUAUACAGUGAAAUGUGAUAAUCUAUUUUCCAUGCUUAGAUGAAUAACAAAGCCAUAAAUGUUGCACACAAGUAAGAUGAGGGUACAACCUAUCUGGCCGCCAUCCAUAGGAGUGAGCAUCAUGUGCUGACUUGUUGAUGGCCCUGCAGUUGUUGUGGCUGUCUAUGUCGGGCACGCACAUUCGAUGCAGGGAACUGUUGAGUGGGGACUAUAGCUCCCUCCUGGUGUAUGCUUCCCUUGUUGGAGCAGCUGCGGUGAGUCGGAAGCCGGUGUGGCUAAAGAUGCAGAUAACGCAUAAUGUUAAGAACGACACAUCUCUUUGAUCUGAAGAAAUACACUAAGAGAUCAACAACAAGGUACGAGAGUGGUCACAGUCUGUUGACUGAAGACUGAAUUGGGGUCACACAAUUUUAUUUUAUUUGGUACCGUCCGAUCUAUGCCGGAUGGCUUGAUGGCCGUCUUGUGCCUCCCGGCUGACACUGUUAGGAAUCUUCCCCGAAGAGCCAGCGACCAACGGUAGAGCAGCCUACCUCCACCGUCUGUGGCCCCGGCCAAAACCCCGCUCCCCGCCCCACCGCACUGUCGUGGUUGCGCCACCCCCGGGCCAAUCCACAAAGACUCCCCGUCAUCCAGAUCCGGCGGCGGCAGUACCUUCAACCCACGCAACUCUAAGAUAGCCAUCUAAAUGCACACGCUUCUUAGAAUGGAGUUGACAUAUUUUUGCUGGAUUGGAGCGGACUAGUUCUUUGGCCACUGGAAUCUGCUUAUUAUCAGUAGGAGUUGGGUUUCUCUGUGCUAGAGCAGUAUCUAUAAAAACCGGAGUUGGUUUAUUAUCUCCUGGCGUUUGGAUCUUUUGCAAAGCCCUGGUUUGUAACCCUUCAAAUUCUAACAUAGUCGUCUUCCCCUUGCAUGCCUUGUAUAGAAGAAUGGUGCUUCAAUUAUAAAACAUGCUACAGCAGAGAGAUGGAAUAGGUACUGAAGAAUAGAAAGGCAUGACAUAUUGACAUGUAUUCCCUCCAUCCAGAAAAAAAUGGAUGGGUCUAGGCGUAUUUCAAUUCUAGAUACAUCAUUUUUUAUUCAUUUCGGCAACAUGUAAUCUGGACGGAGGGAGUAUGGUGUAAGAGCUAGGGAUACGACAGGACAACACAGUAAAAAAACACUAGUUGAAUGUAAAACUGUAUGCUAGCGGAAUACGUAUAGAAAAAACUAAGGCAACAUACACGUGUAUGAUUGGGAAACUAAGAUGGCAUUGCAACAGAGCACUAGAACAACACUUCAAUGUAAAAAACAUGGUAUGGUAGACAGAUGAAGUACAUACUGAUGAAUAACAAGGCAUAAGAUAUUCAGAAGCGUGAUGUCCAAAUUAAGCAGAUGGCAUUGCGAUAGAGUAGAAUGAUAGUACUUGAAUUUGAAACCAUGUUAUCAUGAAUGGAAUAGGUACUGAAAAACAGGAAGACAUGAUAUAUUUACAUGCUUUAUCAGCAUGCUAAGCACAUGGCAUUGCAACAGAGUAGAUACACUCCAGGACAUUAUAUGCAUGUUGUACCCGUAUCAGGGGCCAAGUUAGAGCAAGGACCUUGUGGGUGAAGAGGAUUCAACAUCUUUCUGCAAGUCUUCUGAAGAACUGCCUUUACAUGUUCCAUCAUAUUAGGUAUCAUUGACAUCAAGUUUAUUGGCCUUUACAUUGCUCCAUGAGGUUCUUGUGGAUAUGUAUCGUUUGUACACAGAUGAAAGCUACAGAAUAUGUAUCGUUUGUACUCAAGAUUAACUAGAUGGCACACAAAGGUAUUAAAGAACAACAUAGGUAAUACUAGAAGUGGUAUAAUACUAUAAUCACCAGCUUGUGGGAUAGCAUUGGCUGAUGGAUGAUAACUAUGGAACAACGUUGCCUAAAGAACAAGUAUCUUAGCUGAACUAUGGAACAACGUUAACUCCUCAAAAGGACCCGUAAGAGAUCGGCAUGAAUAUACAGUGAAAUGUGAGAAUCUAUUUUCCAUGCUUAGAUGAAUAACAAAGCCAUAAAUGUUGCACACAAGUAAGAUGAGGGUACAACCUAUCUGGCCGCCAUCCAUAGGAGUGAGCAUCAUGUGUUGACUUGUUGAUGGCCCUGCAGUUGUUGUGGCUGUCCAUGUCGGGCACGCGCAUUCGAUGCAGGGAACUGUUGAGUGGGGACUAUAGCUCCCUCCUGGUGUAUGCUUCCCUUGUUGGAGCAAUUGCGGUGAGUCGGAAGCCGCUGUGGAUGAAGAUGCAGAUAACGCAUAAUGUUAAGAACGACACAUCUCUUUGAUCUGAACAAAUACACUAAGAGAUCAACAACAAGGUACGAGAGUGGUCACACGUCUGUUGACUGAAGACUAAAUUGGGGUCACACGAUUUUAUUUUAUUUUGGUACUGUCUGAUCUAUGCCGGAUGGCUUAAUGGCCGUCUUGUGCCUCCCGGCUGACACUGUUAGGAAUCUUCCCCGAAGAGCCAGCGACCAAUGGCAGAGGAGCCUGCCUCCGCCGUCCGUGGCCCCGGCCAAAACCCCGCUCGCCGAGCCAAUCCACAAAAACUCCCCGUCAUCCAGAUCUGGCGGCGGUAGUACCUUCAAUCCACACAACUCUAAGAUAGCCAUCUAAGCGCUGCUUCCGCGACGAACUUGCUGCCCCGCACCCUUACGUUAGACACCAGCCAACCGGCAGCCUAGGAGCUCCGCCGCCUCGAGGGGUGCUGGUUCCCAUUGAAAAUCGAUUGGCCCAGAAUAAAAGGUCAGACAACUGAUGCCCAAAUAAAGUGAUUUGAGAUGAGGGUGCGACCUAUCUGGCGGCAUGGUAAAGUAGGCAGGUCUAGCUACCGAGUCAGUGAGGCCAGCGUGGUUGCGGUGGCGACCGGCGGUAGGGAAACAGCGAUGUUGCGACAGUCGACGGCUAUGGGGAAGCAGCCCGGGACUCUGGACAGAUCCAAGGUUGGAGCCGCUCCGGCGCCGUGAACAAUGGCGGGGGUGAAUCGGCUCCGGUAUGGUUCACGCGGCCGUCGUCGAGGCAGCUCCAGCAGCACGGAGUAAGAGGCACACGGGCCAGUGCACGAUGGCAAAUGGACAGCGUCUUCGGCAUUAGGGAGGAGGGCGGCUGUGAAAUUGGUGUGAUGGGGGGCCAUGGAGGAGGGGAUGAGGUUUCACGGCUCGGGAGAAGGGAGCUUCCGGGGAGAAGGUGAUUUGGCGCCCAUGAGGUAUGAAUGGGGGGAAUUGGGAGGGGAGUGGAACCAUGUUUUACGGACGCAUUUGUCUGAAAUGUGAGGGGGAGUUACAGUUCUACCCCUGCCUUUAGGCUUCUCGGCUUGGGUCUGUGUACUGAGGGUCGGGGAUAGUAGAGUAACUUUGCUUCUCCCCAAAUAGUGGGCGGGAGCAAUUUCGGGUGAGGAGGGCGUGUUUUGAAAUAUAGUGAGCGCGAGCGAUUUCGGGCGAGGAGAGCAUGUUUUGAAAUAGUGGGCGCGAGCUAUUUCGCGUGAGGAGAGCGUGUUUUGCCGACCAUGGUUUAUGAAUUAUUCGGCACAUGUCAUUUCGGCCGAGGAGAAGGCGCGCUUGGAUGAAGUUAUGAACCUACCCUCGAUGUACAACGGGCCAAUUAAUGUGUGUCCCACAUAGGACGGUAAUCCCAUUUAUUUGCUCGGGUGAAUUCCACCGAACAGAGGAUGUUUAGCGGUUCGUUCAAAAUUUGGGAGAACAAGCAUCCACGUCUACCUUACCAAGUUGAUUCGAAUCAAAUUUUGAAAUAUUAGCUUUCCACUUCUUUUUUAGAUGGAGAGAUGAUGCUCGGGAGUAAUGUGUUUUUACAUGCUCGUCGCUAGUGAUUUACUAUAUGACAAAUAGUUGACCCACUCAAAAAUGGGAAUCAAACCCAAAAUGAAAUAGCUCGAUUCAAUGAAAUAGCUCGUUCACCAAGUCAAAAUAGUGAACUAAAUCCAAAAUUGAACACCUCAAUCGAGUAGCAUGUUGUACAGUAUUAUAGUACUCCAUGAACAUGUUGAAAGUCAAAUUAAUGAACUUGUUUGAUAUACGCAUAUAUUCGUUCAUGUGUGGAUUGCAGACAACAUGUUAUACAAUUUAAAUAUUUGAAUGCAAGUUUAUAUCGAAACAUGGUUUAUAUCAGUCUUUGAUGCAUAAAACACGACCUCCCCCUCUCUCGGAUUCCUGCUCUCUCUCUCUCUCUCUCUAUCUCUCUCUCCGACAAUCUUCAAUUCUGUCGCACGCAUCCAACACACAAACCUUGUUGGUCCCUAUCGCUUUCUCUCCAUCUCUCUCUUUGUGUGUGUGUGGGGGGGGUCUUUCUAGUUUGCAUGCAUAUAUACUCCAUCUAUAGGUCUCUCUCGCACACUAUGUAUGAUUCUCUAGUCCAAGCUAGAUAUCUUGGGUGCACUCAUCGUACGCACACAAAUUCCUUGGCUUGUUGCCCGUAACUCUCUCACGCACCACUCUGUCGUCUCAGAGCUCUUCCCCCUCUCUCUCAGACUCUCCAUCUACCUGGGUCUCACAUACACAUGCAUAUCUCACUCGCACUCGAUAGGCCCAUCUAAAACUCUAUCUCUCUCCCUCGUCCUCUCUCCAUCUCACACGCACACACACGCAAUCUCAUGCCUAGCUAGCCAAGUAUGAUGGUCUCUCACUCAAUUGUAGGCACACGCAGUAUCCCCUUUAUGUAUAUGACUAGCUAAUCUUAGUCUCCAUCACAAACAUGUGCAUGGUCUAUCUCGAUUUCUCUCGGGGCAUCUUUCUAUCGCGCAUGCACCUCCCUCGAUCUCCCACCCAUAUAGUCCCCUCACGAUCUCGAGGGGGUCUCUCUAUCACAAACACACCCUCUCGCCCUCCCCACGCGUCCAUGUUCUCCAUGUGUCCCUCUCGACCUUUGUUCCUUGUUGGCUAGACCUCUAUUGGACAUGUGCUAUAGGGGUGUCUCUCUCCGUUGCAAACAAUCACACACUAGCUAUCUUCGUGUAUCUCCUCGCCUUGCUUUUCUAUCUCGGAGAUGCAUGCGUGAUAUGUUCGCCUAAGAAACAAAAAAACACACACUCUCUCUAAUUUAUCGUUUGUUGUCACUUUCUCUUUCACACACAUACUCUUUUUGCACACUUACUCGUUCUCCUUCACACGCACUUGAUCUCUCUCUACUUAGGCACUCUACUCGGACCAUAGCAUAUUGAUUUAUUGAAAAGUCAAACAUCACAAAGUUUGACCAUGUACGUGG